rnacentral:lncRNA from 1 species
UGAUUUACUACAAACAUAACAUGGAGAAUUUGAAAGAGGAGCUUCAGAAACUGGAUGACAAGAGAACUGAGGUGGGGCUACGUGUGAAUAACGCCAAAAGCAACUUGCAGGUUGUUGUUGAUUCUGUAAUUCGUUGGCAAGAGAAAGCAGAUGGCAUUGAUAGGAGGAGUAAAGAAUUUAUUCAAAAUGAAAUGAACGUGAACAAGUGUUUGAACCGUUAUUCCUUGAGUAGAAAAGCUAAGAAGAUGACAGAAAAUAUGCNNNNNNNNNNNNNNNNNNNNNNNNNNNNNNNNNNNNNNNNNNNNNNNNNNNNNNNNNNNNNNNNNNNNNNNNNNNNNNNNNNNNNNNNNNNNNNNNNNNNNNNNNNNNNNNNNNNNNNNNNNNNNNNNNNNNNNNNNNNNNNNNNNNNNNNNNNNNNNNNNNNNNNNNNNNNNNNNNNNNNNNNNNNNNNNNNNNNNNNNNNNNNNNNNNNNNNNNNNNNNNNNNNNNNNNNNNNNNNNNNNNNNNNNNNNNNNNNNNNNNNNNNNNNNNNNNNNNNNNNNNNNNNNNNNNNNNNNNNNNNNNNNNNNNNNNNNNNNNNNNNNNNNNNNNNNNNNNNNNNNNNNNNNNNNNNNNNNNNNNNNNNNNNNNNNNNNNNNNNNNNNNNNNNNNNNNNNNNNNNNNNNNNNNNNNNNNNNNNNNNNNNNNNNNNNNNNNNNNNNNNNNNNNNNNNNNNNNNNNNNNNNNNNNNNNNNNNNNNNNNNNNNNNNNNNNNNNNNNNNNNNNNNNNNNNNNNNNNNNNNNNNNNNNNNNNNNNNNNNNNNNNNNNNNNNNNNNNNNNNNNNNNNNNNNNNNNNNNNNNNNNNNNNNNNNNNNNNNNNNNNNNNNNNNNNNNNNNNNNNNNNNNNNNNNNNNNNNNNNNNNNNNNNNNNNNNNNNNNNNNNNNNNNNNNNNNNNNNNNNNNNNNNNNNNNNNNNNNNNNNNNNNNNNNNNNNNNNNNNNNNNNNNNNNNNNNNNNNNNNNNNNNNNNNNNNNNNNNNNNNNNNNNNNNNNNNNNNNNNCAAUCAAUUGAUGUCUUGAAGAAUCUUCAAACCUUAUGUCUUUUGAAUGAUAGGCUAAACGAGAUGCAUACAAUUGGAGCUCUCGUGAAACUGGAAAUACUUCAAAUUCGUAGUUAUCAUUUAAAAGAGCUGCCUGCAGAAAUAGGAUUACUAAAAAAUCUAAGGUUGCUAAACCUGCGCAGGGUCGAGUACCUUAGAUACAUUCCACCAGGUGUAUUAUUAAGGUUGUCCAAACUAGAAGAGUUGUAUCUUCCACUUAGAUAUAUGAUGAAAUGGGAAUGGAAGGAAGACGAAGAGAAAACCAAUGCAAGCCUCAGCGAGCUAGAGACUCAUCAUAUAACUGCAUUGCAUAUUACUGUAGUAAAUGCCUACAUUUCACCUAAAGAUUCAGUCUUUAGAAACUUAAUAAGAUUCCACAUUUUUGUAGGCAAAUCAAAGGUUCAUAUUGUUCGCAAAGAUUCAGAGAAUAUAUUGUAUCUUGAAGGAGAUGCAAGUGAUAUUAAAGGGAGUGGGAUAUGUGUUUUGUUGAGGAAAGUUGAAGUCUUAUAUUUGGUAGAAGUGAAAAAUUUGAAGAAAAUUGUAAAUGAGAUAGAAGAUAAUAGUUUUGCGGAUUUGAAGCGAGAUGAAUGUGAUGCACUAGUGAGAAUUUCAGAGUCUCCAAAAAGUCCCCUCCCAUACUUGAGCAAUUUAAGAAAAGUAGAUAUACGGAGAUGUGAUGAGUUGAAGUACUUGAUUCCACUAUCCAUGGCUAGAGAGUUGAGGCAACUUCACAGCUUGACUGUAAUGUCGUGCGAAAAGAUGGAGGGAAUUUUCUAUAGAAACAAAGUGAAUGAUGAGAUUGAGUCGCCACUUACAACUCUCUACUUGUAUAACCUUCCAAACUUCAUUGGAUUUAUCUACAAGGUAAGCUUUUAUAUUUUUUAUAAUUAAAGAAUAUUUUAGUUUAAAUAUGAAGACCAUUUUAUAAUUUUACUUGUUUUUAAAUUUUUAGUAAUUAUUUUUAUUACUUAAAAAAUAUUUCAUUAUUUUAAAUAUGUAUGAGUAAUCCCUUGAAGAAAACAUAGUAUUUUUAUAAUUUGUUUUUAUUACUAAUAUGACUUGGCGACAAAUUAAUGAGGAAAUUUUUUCUUGUGAAGCCCUCACACUGACAUAUUAAUAAGCUCUAUUUAUUUCAAAAAAAAUAAUUUUUAAAACAAUAUUUUUCAUUUUUUUAAAAAAUUUAGUUUAAAAAAAUAUUUUUCUAAUAAAAAAAUAACUAAGAAAAUAAUUUUUACUUUUGAAAAAAUAAAAUCAAUUUUCACAUCUUAAAAUAUUUAUCAAGACAUUUAUAUAUAAAUUUAUUAAUAAAUUUUAUUUUUUAAAUUAAAAUUAAAUAAUAAAAAUAAGUAUUUCAUUAAAAAAAAAUUUUUUAUAAAAAAUAUUUUUUAAAUACAAAUUAUUUUUUACAUAUAAAUAAAACAUUAAUUUCAAAUUUAAAUCCAAUCAGUAUAUAUCUCCAUCUACAUAGAAAAUCCAUAAUUUAUUUUAUUAUUAUUUCAUAAAACUCAUUUGACAGGUUAUAAAUUUACUCAAAAUUGCACUCAUAAACUUAAUUUGAUGGUAAAUGUAUCUGAAUAAAUCUGAAAUAUUUCAGAUUCUACUUAUCCGAUUUCUAAAUUCCCAUUUAAAAAAAAAAACAAAAUUUACCCAAAAUUAUCUGCCCAUUACUGAUAUAUGUUAUUUUUCUAUAAUUAUUUUCAUCUAUCCUUCUACGUUUGCUAAUUGUUUUCAUUUUAUACAGAAGAAAUUGAGUUUUAAUUUUUGUUCCAAUGGCUAAUAUAUAUAUAUUCGUGUUUGACAGGAUAUAGAAGAGUCUAGUGCAUCUGAAAUGAACAAUAGGAUAGAAAUUGUUCAAUCUAAGACUGAACCAGUGGAAAAGAUUUCUAUAUUAUUUUCUUCUCUUUGGCUACGACUAUCAAAGUUGCAAAAGCUUACCUUGUAUAAGUGUGGUUUGGUAAAAGCACUGUUUCCUCCUUCUGUUGCCCAGCAAUUUGCGCAGCUUAAAGAAUUAAAUAUCUCAUCUUGUUGUAAGAUGGAAUAUAUAGUUGCUGAAGCAAAAGAAGAAGAAAAAAACAAGGGCAUAAGCAAAAUAGCAUUUCCUAAUCUAACUAAGCUUGGUCUUGAUGAUCUACCAGAGCUGGUGGCUUUCUUUGCAGACAAUGAUAUUUCUUUUGAGUUGUACUCAUUAGUAUAUUUGAAGAUGUCUUGUCCUAAACUGAAGACACAUUAUUGUGAAACUCCAGACUCAUCAACUUUGAACAAAAGUUACGAUCAAAGUGAGCUCAAAGUCAUGUUCCCAACAAGCUCAAUUGCUCAACGCUUACUAAGAAGAGGAAAGCCAAAAGAUGUUUCCAAGAAAAAGGUAUGUACUCAUUGAAUUUCAUAACGUAAUGCCAUUGAAAUUGUUGAAAUUUACUUUAGGGUUUGGGAGUUAGAAGCAUUAAUUACACCUACAAUAGCAAUGAAUGAAUUAGAUGAUCUCCCUAAUAAAUUUGGCAGGAUAUGGAGAUGGAGCAGCCAAGCACAUCUCAAAUGAAAAGUGGACCAAUGGAAAUGAUUUCUACAUUAUUUUUUCUACCAAGUUCACAAUUAUUAAAUUUGCGAGAGCUUCAUAUCGGUCACUGUAAUUUUCAAGAAGCAGCCUUUCCUCUCUCUGUAGCUCAACAAUUGGUGCAGCUUAAAGAGUUAAGCAUUUGGUCAUGUGAGAAGAUGGAAUACAUUAUUGCAAAAGAUAAGGGAAGAAGCAAAAUAGUAUUGUUUCCUAGCCUAACUUAUCUUCAACUUUUAUAUCUGCCAAAUUUGAUGGGUUUUUGCGAAGAUAAUAAUGUUUCUCUUAAGUGGUCUUUGUUAGAACGAUUGAGGUUUUCUGAAUGUCGGAAAAUGAAGACAUUUUGCGUUUCAGUUCCAAAAUCGUCAACAUUGAGUACAAGUGCUGAGGUUGAUCACCUUGAUACUAUCUUUUGUGCCACAUUGAUACCACGAAGAAGGAAAAAGCAAGAUAAUAAUUUCAGCAAAGAGGUAUGCCUUUCAAGAUAAAUUAUAAUUAUUUGAAAUGAAUGAAUGUGAAUUUGAGUUUAGUAUUUAUUUAAUUUCUCAAUUUUCAUUUAUUAAAAUUUUCAAAUCAGUUAUAUAUUUUAUUUUUAUUUAAAAAUUUCAUAUUUUUGUAGUUAAAUAAAAAAAUCACAUUUUCUAAAUACCAUAUUAUAACUAUUUUAUGCGACACAUGAUAUAUUUUCAAAAUUUAUAUUUUACAAAAAUUUAUUCAAUAUCUAUCAGUAUGAUUAUUUUUCUGCUAUAUUGGAUAUAAAAAAAUAGAUAAAUAUUUACACAAAUUCAUAUUUAUAUAAUUUUUUUUUUAAUAUAAAGGUAAAACAUUAAGAUUUAGUACUGAACAUAUAGCAUGGUCUUUGAAGUUUUAUUUUAUUUAUAAAAUAGUCCUUUGAACUAAAUAUUUUUAUUUAAUCAUGUCUAUUAAAUUCAUUCACAUUUUUUUAUUAGUUUAUUAUUUUUCCUUUUUAAUAAUUAAAAAUUUGUGAAAAAUAAUUUCAAAUCAAAUUAAUGUAUUUCAAUUUUUAUUAACAUAUAUUAAAAUAACAAAAUGAUGUUUUUAAAUUAAUUUUAACAGUAUUUUAUUUUUAAUUUUUAAAACUUAUGUACAUAAUUUUUAAUUAUCAAGCAUGAAAUAUGAGCAUAACUAUUGAAUAAAACUUUUGACAGAUUAAGUUAUUGAUACUCAAUAAUAUAUUGAAAAUUAUGCAGGUAAUUUUAAGAAUUAAAAAUAAAAUAAAAUUUUUAAAUAUAUUAUUUUGUUAUUUUAGCAUUAGUUAAUAAAAAUUUAAAAUGUGUGGAAUUCAAUUUAAAACUUAUUUUCUAUAAUGUUUUAAUUAUUGAAGAGAAAAAUAUUAUAAUUGAUGAAAAAGUACACAAUUGACUUUAAUAAUGACAAAAAAUGAUAUUAUCAAAAUAAAAAUAUUUAUUUCAAAUGUCCAUAUUUUAAUUUUAUAAUAUAAGUUAUGGUUAAUUUUUUUAAAUUCAAUUUAGUUUAUUAGCCAAAACUGUAACUAAUAUUAAAAUUUUAGUUUUAUUAUUAAAAAAAAUUAUCUGUUUAUGUUGUUUUAUAAAGAAAAUUUAUCAAUCUAAUUACUGAUUUAUAAAAGUGAAUCAUAUUAUUAAAUAAUGUUUUGUAUGUUGCUCAGAGAUUUAACCUGAUAAUAAGUACAUCUUAAUUAGUAAAUCUUAGAGAUUUUGGUUCUGCUCCUCAAUUUGACAGGUUUCAUUAAUAAAGACUCAGAGGGAUCCAUCUGUUAGCAAUAUUGAUGAAAGUUGUGCAUUUCCAUCCAAAUUGAUUCAACAGUUGCAAAAUGUGAAAGACCUUAAGAUUGAGGGUAUUGAUUCAGUGGAAGUAAUAUUUUCAUUUGAAGGGCUGAUUAAUGGAGUGCUCAAUUCAGUGGUAGAGAUAUGGUUAGUUAAUUUACCAAAUUUGAAGCACGUUUGGUUCAAGAUUCCACCAGAAAUCACAGCCUUCCAAAACCUGCGAGAGUUGAUUGUAACAGAUUGUGAUAAUUUAAUAAACCUUUUCUCAAUUUGCUCGGCCAAACUUGUAGGAAAGCUAAAAUCAAUAAGGAUUAGAAGGUGCAAGAGGAUGGAGGAAAUUAUUGGAAAAGAGGAAGAAGAAAUUAGCACGCAAAAAAUUGAGUUCCCUCAACUAAGGUCUCUUAAACUUGAGGAUUUACCCAACCUCAACAGUUUCUGCAAUACGAUUUAUGCUCUUGAAUUUCCAUUUCUAGAAACAUUGGAGUUUUGGAAAUGUAAAAGGAUGGAGACAUUCUCCUAUGGAUCAUUAAGCAUGCCAAAGCUAGAGAAGGUUGUGAUAAAUGGAGGGUGGCAUCGAUUAAUGAGAUCUGAUCCAAACCUUAAUGCAAAAAUGAGUGAGUUGUUGAAGAUGAAUCAAUAAGAGGUAUGAUUCAUUUCCUAAUGCCUUUAUUUAGAAUGGUAAAUUUUUAGGGAAUUCAAGUGAAUUAAUUUUUUUUUUUUAAUUUUUGUGUUUAGAAAAAUUAAGAAUAUAAGAAUUUUUUUAAAUUUUUGUGAGAAUUGAUUUUGAAUUAAAAAUUAAGCAUUGCUUUUCUUUAGUUAUCAUAUGUCUUUUGAAAUUGUGAAUUUAGUUUUGAUUGGUGAAUAACCCACACUUGCAUAAUCUCAGGAAUAUCUUAUAAAUAAUUAAACAUGAUAAAUAAUUUAUUUGUUACACAAGAACUUGAUGCCACUGGCAAUGGUGAUUUUGAUUAUUCCAAAUUUCAGAUAGAAGGGAAGCUAAGUUUGAGUCGUGAAGAGGAAAGUGAUGAAGCUGCUUUUAAUGGAGAAUAGCAUUGGGAUCAAGGUGUUCAAUGAAGAUUGAAGAUUUAGGAUUUUUUUUUCUUGAGUCUUGAAGUUGAAAAACCUAAAUAAUUUCCUUUUCCCGUGAUUUCUCAUCAACAAAAUUUCAUGAGUCGUUUAUAAAUUCUGGAGCUGCUUUUUAUUUUUUGAGUCUUGAAAUUCUAAGGCAGGUGUGAAAUAGCUUUGCUGCUAUUAAAGACAUAUGAAAGAUUUGUUCAUGUUAUUGUCAUGCUAUGUUUAGUUCUUUUUCUUAGUUUUUCAAUGGGACGACAGACAACUAUGUCCAUAUUUCAUAUGGAUUGUCUAUCAUCAGUAAGGUGACUUCUUUGUCUUAUUUUAUUAUUUUGUAGUUGCUAGUUGUAUCAGUAAGGUGACUUCUUUGUUUUAUUUUAUUAUUUUGUGGUUGCUAGUUGUAUAGUGCAUGAAAUUAUUUGGUUCAGUUUUUUUUGUUUUUUUAAAUUUCUAUUCUGAUAAUAUUUUUAUUGUUUAUGAAUAAAAAAAGAUAAAUUAUAUUUUAAUUUUUAAAUUUUAAUAUAAUUAAUAAAUUAGUUCUGUAUUUUUAAAAUCAAACACUUAAAUUCCUAUAUAAUUAUUCCGUUUAAAUUGGAGGUUUUUCUCUCCAUAAUUUCAUUAGUCAACUGGUCAAAAGAGAAUAAACAUUUCAAAUACCUAAAAUAUCAUCAUAAACACUUAAAUUCUUUUCAAUAUAAGUGAGAAUUUUAUGUUAUAUAAAUUACACGUUGAUCCUUAAAUUUUAGCAUAAUUGAUAGAUUAGCCUUUAUAUUUUUAAAACUAAAUUUUUAAAUCCCUCUACAUUUAAUUUGUCUAAAAUUACCGUUAUUUCAUCCAUUAUAGACAUUAGUUCAAAACUAGUGUAUGGUCAAAAUUUUUCUGAAAGUACAAUUUCUUCCUAAAAUAUUCUUUAUAAAAAUUUACAAUUUACUUAAAGGUUACUUUAUACCACUUAAAAAUAACUGAAAUUGUAAGUAUUUUAUAAAACUUUUAAAUUAUAAGUGUUGAAGUAUUUUAAUGAAUGGAAAUUGAAGAUCAAAAAGUGUUAAAAAUUAGUUAAAUGAGAUAUUAUAGAUAAAAGUUAAUGAAAACCUAAGUAUUUUUUCAAAUAAAAAAUGAAGGAUCAAAAUAUUUAAAUUAUAAUAAAUGAGGAUGGACUGACCAUAAAGAGAUUUAAGAGUAAGAUUUUAAAAAUACAGGGACCGAUUCAUUAAUGUUAGAGUGUGAAUAUAAUUUGUAUAUAAUCAUAGGAGAUUACAUAAUCAUAAGUUAAUUAAUUGAUAGAGGAUUCUUAGGAGUUGCCUUAAUAAAGCCUUGUAAUCUGUAUAUAUACAUACUUCAAUAUAGAAUAUACACUAAAAUUACCCAAUUAUUUCUUAUUUUAUUACAUGGUAUCAGAGUCUCUCCCGUAGAGAUUUGAAUUUUUCUUUUCCUGUUCUGUUUGGAGACUUAGGGCUCCUUUUAGGUUACCUAUAUAGGGUUAUUUGUUUCUCACUCACCUCAAAGUCCCCUCGUCAGAUCUAUGGUCCGUUUGCUAUUUGGGUAUUGGGUGGAGGUAUUUUUGGUUUGGAUCUCAUUCUGGUAUAGGGGUAUAGGAGUAUAAGAUUUUGGUUGAAAUGGUUUCUGAUAAUAAGACCCAUAUUGUUAAAAUUAUCCCAAUGCCUUCAAUAGUGGCUGAAACAGGUAAAACUUGUCUUAUUUCCUUUUUGUAUAAAUGGGUCAUUGAUUCUGGUGCCACGGAUCACAUAAUAGGUAAUCCUCAUAUUUUUACUAACUUUCGAUCUCAUAAAGUACCUUCUUCUGUUAUUAUAGUUGAUGGGUCAACCUAUAAUGUUGAGAGUUCUGGGACUGUUAAACCCACUCCUUCUAUUACCCUAUCAUCCGUGCUAAGUUUACCUAAUCUUGCCUUUAAUUUAAUUUCUUGAGUAAACUUACCAAAGGGCUAAAUUUUUGUGUUUCCUUUUUUCCUGAUCAUUGUCCCAUUUAGGAUCUUGUGACAAAGCAGAUUAUUGGCAAAGAACAUGUAUCUGGAGGUCUCUUCAUUUUGGAUGCAUGGGUACCUCGAUCUGUUGUCUGCUCUAUUGUCGUGUCUCCAUUUGAAGCAUAUUGUCGGUUGGGACAUCCUUCUUUACCGGUUUUGAAGAAGCUAUGCCCCUAAUUUCAUGAGGUAUCUUCAUUGGAAUGUGAAUCAUGUGAUUUAGCAAAACAUCAUCGAAACUUUUUAAGUCUUAGAGUCAAUAAACGAAUUGAGUCUGCUUUUGAAUUAGUUCAUUCAGAUGUUUGGGGCCCAUGUCCGGUUGGAUCUAAGACUGGAUUCAGAUAUUUUAUCACUUUUGUGGAUGAUAACUCUAGAAUGACUUGGAUUUAUUCUAUGAAACAGUGUUCGAAAGUGUUUUCUCAUUUUUCUGCCUUUUGUUCUGAAAUCAAGACUCAAUUUAAUGUUUCUGUGCAAAUUUUGCAAAGCUACAAUACUAAAGAAUAUAUAUCAGAAUCAGUCUAGGCUUAUAUGACUCAACAUGGUAUUCUUCAUCAAUCGUCAUGUAUUGAUACACCCGCUCAAAAUGGGAUAGCUGAGAGAAGGAAUCGACAUCUCCUUGAGACUGCUUGAACUCUAUUGUUUCAAAUGCAAGUUUUCUAAGCAAUUUUAGGCCGAUGCUGUCUCUACUGCAUGCUUUCUCAUUAAUCGCAUCCCCUCUACAGUACUAAAUGAUAAUACUCCUUAUAAUGUCCUCUUUCAUAAGAAACUAUUAUUUCCUCUAAAACCACGGCUUUUUGGCAGCACUUGCUAUGUUNNNNNNNNNNNNNNNNNNNNNNNNNNNNNNNNNNNNNNNNNNNNNNNNNNNNNNNNNNNNNNNNNNNNNNNNNNNNNNNNNNNNNNNNNNNNNNNNNNNNNNNNNNNNNNNNNNNNNNNNNNNNNNNNNNNNNNNNNNNNNNNNNNNNNNNNNNNNNNNNNNNNNNNNNNNNNNNNNNNNNNNNNNNNNNNNNNNNNNNNNNNNNNNNNNNNNNNNNNNNNNNNNNNNNNNNNNNNNNNNNNNNNNNNNNNNNNNNNNNNNNNNNNNNNNNNNNNNNNNNNNNNNNNNNNNNNNNNNNNNNNNNNNNNNNNNNNNNNNNNNNNNNNNNNNNNNNNNNNNNNNNNNNNNNNNNNNNNNNNNNNNNNNNNNNNNNNNNNNNNNNNNNNNNNNNNNNNNNNNNNNNNNNNNNNNNNNNNNNNNNNNNNNNNNNNNNNNNNNNNNNNNNNNNNNNNNNNNNNNNNNNNNNNNNNNNNNNNNNNNNNNNNNNNNNNNNNNNNNNNNNNNNNNNNNNNNNNNNNNNNNNNNNNNNNNNNNNNNNNNNNUUUUUAUUAAUUUUUUAAUUAUACUCCUUUUAAAAAUAAAACAAGAACAUUAAGUUUUAUUGAAGCAAUAAAAUUAUUAUUAAUAAUAUAUGAUUUGAAUUAAAUACUAAAAAGAUUAUUUGGAUUCUUAUUUGAAAACAAACAAACAAGUAAUGAGAAGUCAUCUUAAAAAUAAGAUAAAUUAAAUAUCCUUAUAAUAAUUAAUUUAUAUGUUAAUCAUAAUUAAAAAAACAUAUUUUAGAACAACUAUAAAUGGAAAAGUGGAUAAUAGGAGAUAGGGAGCAGCUACUAGAAAUUUUUAUAAAUUAUAGGAGGGCAAUAGAAAAUUUUAAAAAAUCAAUUAAUAAAAAAUAAAAUUUAAUUGUAAUACCCGGCUAGACUCCGGUAUCGGAAUUCCUACCGCCCGGUGGAAUCUCGGAUGUCGGAAACCUCUAGAAGGGUAAAAAGUAUGUUUUUAUAAAAUGUUUUAAUGUAUUAUAUGGUUUUAAGUAAGAAAAGAAUUAAGUUUUGAAUGAAAAUGACCAUGGAGGGAAACUAAGAUUCGGCCGCCGAACUUGCAUGAGUUUUGGAGUCUCCUUCGGCUUCCGAAGGUGGCCUGGCCAGCCACCUAUAAGAGGCGCCGUGACCGAAAAUGGGCGAGUUUUCUUCCCCAUUUCCGGCCAGAGGUGAGUCCAUGCCCUCCCAUGGUGAGUUUUGAUGGUUUUCCUCAGAUCUUCCAAGUUUUAACAAGUGUUAACUUGGUUUGAAGAUUUUUGAGCAAAGAACAAGUUUUGGAGCUUGGAGACCCAAGGAGCUAGAUUUCUCUCAUGUCCAAGUUGGAUCGCUUCUCCUCUCGAUCUGCAAGAGGUAAGCUUAGAUCCAACCUUUCUAGCAUGUUUUAUACAAGUUUUAUGAAGUUUAUGGGGUAGAAAUGCAUGUUUAGGUUAGUUGUUUUGGUUAGAGUUAAUGUUGAGUUUUAUGGACAAUGUAUGUUGCAUAUGUGUUGUUGUUGGGGUUUAGGAUAGUUUGAGACCCCUAUAUGCUUAUGGAAGUAUGUAUGCAUGUUGCAGAAUAGCUAAAUGCAUGAUUUGAAUGUUUGGGAGGCAAAUGUGCAUAAAGGGCUGAGUUCUGCCAUUUAUGCAAGAACUCAGGUUCGGCAGCCGAAGGCACUUUCGGCCGCCGAACCUGCCUGAGGUAGCAUGUUUCGGCUGCCGAACCCUGCCCCCGAAAGUUGGACUUUCGGCUCUGGAGAGGAGUUUCGGCCGCCGAAGGUGCCGCCGAACAUGCAUGAGUUUCGUCUCUGGAAGGGACUUUUGACCGCCGAAGGUGUCGCCGAAAGUGGCUGAGUUUCGACUCUGGAGGGACUUUCGGCCGCCGAACCUACCGCCGAAAGUGCCCUGUUCAGCCUUCCUUUACAUGUUUUCUAUGAUUGUUUUAUGAUGCUUUAGGGGGUUUUUGGGGAGAUGUUUAGAGUUAAGUGGAUGUAUGUUUGGUCCCUCAUUUGAGUCCACCUGUGUAGGUUCGGACCUGAGGAACCGAGGACCCCAGCAGUGAGAUAGUUGCUUCAGAGUCUUCUCAGAGUCAGCCAGAGGUGAGUAGAAUACAACUCUUUUAAAGUUAAAGAAAUUAAAGUUUUUAGCAUGUUCAUGCAUCAUGAUUGCCAUAAGAUAUACUAGGUUGUUUGCAUUAGAAAUCACGAAUAUGUUGCAUUGCAUACUAUGAUGUUUAUGUGGAUGGAUGUUGGAUGACCCAUUAGUCCUCAAUAUGAUAUGAUGACGAUGAUACGGUAUGGAAAGACCAGUGAGGCCCAUUCUACGCCCCUGGCACUAUGUGAGAGAAAGACCAGUGAGGCCCAUUCUACGCCCCUAGCAUAUUGGAAUGUUAUGCUAUGUUAUGUUAUGUUAAGAGAAAGACCAGUGAGGCCCAUUCUACGCCCCUGGCACUAUUGGAAUGUGUAGAGGGCUAUUGGUGACAAGUCCAUCCUUGAUAUAAAUUGUUUGUGAUGUGAUGCAUUUCAUGAGAGCAUGGAUUUAAUGUAUGGUUUUUGUUAUUCUGCUCACUGGGCUCUUGUAGCUCACCCCUCUCCCUUAACCCCCAGGUUUGCAGGUUCAGGGUAGACCAGGAGAUCAGCAAUAGUAGAGUUUUGUAUAUGUAAUAGUUAGAUGGUUGUGGACAUGUAUUGUAAAAUGAUAUUAAUGUAAAGGUAUUAAAUGAAUUGUAAUGGAUAGAGUUGUGCUUUGCACUAGUUGUGUAUGGUUAAUCCCUUUGUACAUGAUCUAAUUAAUGAAAUAUUUUAUGAGAUAUGUGCCCAGCUUAACAUAUAUUAUGUUGACCCACUAGAGCAUUUGAUGAGGACUCUAGUAGGGAUUUUUAUAUUACAGUGAUAGUGCAUGCACAGGUCAAGCGUGGGAUAUGAAAAGUUUAAAAUUUUUAUGUAAAUGUAUGAUCAUGUAUGGGAUUAUCAGGUAUGACAGGAUGUAUGUUAGGCUUGCUACGGGUCCCGGCGACCUUAAGUUGAUCUGGAUCCUAGCGCCGGUAGCGGUCCGAUUUCGGGUCGUUACAUUAAUAUAAAUAAUUAAAAAAUUUAAGAAAUCUUGAGGGGGCUAAGGCCCCUCGCCCCCUUGAUUCUAUCUCUGCCUCUUGAGGAACUAAAUCGAACUCAGCUUGUACCAUCUCCAUUUCAACAUCCCAUUAUUAAGAAAUGUACAUUUAUCUUCAUAAUCCACUCUGACCCUCUCCACCAUGAACUAAUUACCAUUCAUCUGAAAUCUAUGAAUGGAGAUAAGUAAUAUCUGAGGAAUACAAUGAUCUCCUUUGCAAUAGAACAUGAAAUCUUAUCCCACCAAAUUUAUGCCAAAAUAUCAUUGGAUGCAUGCAAAUGGAUUUUUCGACUUAAAGAAAUCCUAAUGUGACCAUAUAAGUACAAGGCUCACUUUAUUGCAAAGGGUUUUUACUAAAAUCUUGGUCUUGAAUUUUAGGACACUUUUAAUCUUAUUGUAAAGCCCACCAUUAUUUGUAUUGUUCUUUGCUGAGCUCUCUUUAAUAAGUGGUCACUUCAUUAAUUAAAUGUCAAUAGCGCAUUUUUUUAUAGUCACACCUCUUAAAUUAUUUUAUGGCCCAACACAUGACUUUAUCAAUAAAGCAUAUUCUAAUUACGAGUGUAAGCUUCAUAAAGUCCUCCAUAGACUCAAGUAAGCACCUCGUACUUAGUAUAAUAAAUUUUGUUCCUUUCUUCUUUCGGUUAGUUUUUAAAUGUCAAAUCUAAUAAUUUUCUCUUCAUUUAUUCCCAUGCCACCAUCGCUAUGUAUCUCCUAAUUUACAUUGAUGGUUUGAUGCUAAUCAGAAGCUAUCCUAAAAUUGUAAUUAAGCCACUUUAUUGCUUUUUUAAGUGCUCAUUUAUCAAUGAGUCUCCUUCAAAAGAAUUUUAGCUUAUGAAUCAAUGUGGCAAUGAUUCUUAUAAUCCUUCUUAUUUAUUAUUGUGGUUGAACCCCAACAAGUACUUCGAGUGAACUAAAAAGUGUUAAAUUAGGGGCUCAUAGUAGCAAUGUCUCUCUAACUCAUCAAUUUUUUUUUUUAUCAAUGAUACCAUAUUUUUAGCCUUUUUAUAACUUCAAAAUAUCACUGCCAUAACAAGAAUUCUUAAAUGAUUUUACUACUUGUCUACUUUGAGAGUUAAUUUUCACAAAAGCCAACUUAUUACCAUUAAUAUCAAUGAAAAUCUUUCUAAAGCGGUUGUAAGUUCAUGUUGUUGCAAAAUGGAAAGUCUACCAAUAAGAUAUUUGGGAUUCUGUCUAGGAGCUAAUGGUGGAAGAUGCAAUACUUGGAAUCCUCUCACUUAAAAAGUUGAAAAUAGGCACUCUUUUUCAAAAAAAAAAAAUUUUAUCCUUUUUUGGAAGACUAACAUUGAAUCUUGCAUUACCUCUAUGCUUUUAUAUUAUUUAUCUAUUCAUAAAAUUCCAAGGAAGUGUUGGAAAAAAAAAAAGGAAAAUUAGAGGAGAGAAAACUUGAUGAAGAAAAUAAUCUUCACUAUUCUUCCAUUAUUUUCAAAUACAAAAUACAUAAGUAUAUAUAUAGGAGUCUAUGUAUGUCUCUUGAACUUUAGUACAUGAAUGCUUUAAUGCGUGAAUCCCUACUAAUGACUAAUACAUGAACUAACUCAUAAAUUGAACCUUGCACACACUAAUCAAGGCACACGAAACUUAAUACAUCAUUGAUAUAAGAGCUGUUUAUAAUGACUAAUAUAACAAGUUUAUCCUUUUAACACCCCUGCUUAAACUUGUCAUACUGACACUCCAAGAUAAACUCUUCAUCUGCAGAAAAUUUCAAACUUCAAUGCUUUAGUGAAUAUAUCUGCAAUUUAUUCUUCACUCUUCAUAUGCUUCAAAGCUACUUCCUUCUUGUUGAUACUUUCUCUUAUAAAUGAUAUCUUGUGUCUAUAUAUUUGCUCCUCUCAAGAAAAAUUGGAUUUUUGCUCAAAGUAAUCGCUGACUUAUUGUCAAUAAAAAGAUCAGUAGCCUCCUUUUGGGUAAAACCCAGUAUUUCCAAUAAUAUUCUUAACCAAAUCCCAUGACAAACAUAAGAUGUAGCUACUACAUACUCUACUUCAUAUGAUGAUAGAGUUUCAAUUGGUUGUUUCUUUGAACCCCAAGAAAAAGCUGAAUUUCCAAUGAAGAAAAAAAAAAUCGGAUGUGCUCUUUUGAUCAUCAAUAUCUCCACCCCAAUUACUAUCGUUGUAACCAACUAAUCUGAAAUUAUUUUCAGUAAAAUAAAACAAGUCAUAAUCCAUUGUACCUUUGAUGUAUUAAAGAAUCCUUUUUUGCAGUCUUCAUACGAGUUGAACUAGGAGUUUCCAUAAAUCGACUAAUCAUCCCAACUCCGUACAAGAUAUCAAGUCCCGUAUAAGUUAGAAAUCUCAAACUUCCAAUAAUUCUUUGAAAUAAAUUUGAAUUACCUUCUCACCAUCAUCAAAUCUCAUCAACUUUGAUCCACACUCUACAGGUACAUUACCAGGAUUACAAUGCUCCAUCUGAAAUUCUUUUAAAACUUUUUUAGCAUAGGCUUUCUGAGAAAUGAAAAUACUUUCCUCUCCUUGCUUCACCUCACUACCCAGGUAAUAAGUCAUCAGUCCCAAAUGUGCCAUCUUCUUAUUGAACUUAUCAAACAUUUUUAUAUUUGAAACUGUAAAAAUUAAAUCAUCUACAUACAAGCAAACAAACAUUACGUCUCCACUUGCAUCUUUCUUAACAUAUAAUGAAUGUUCAUAAGGACACUUUAUAUAGCCAUUUCUUUGGAAAUACUCAUCAAUGUGAGUAUAUCAAGCUCUUGAAGCUUGUUUAAGGUUGUACAAAGUUUUCUUCAACUUCAACACCUUAUCUUCUUCUUGCCAAACCUUGUAUCCUUCCACAUAGACUUCUUCAAAAUGGCCAUGUAAGAAGGUUGAUUUCACACUUUUGAUCUUUUACUACUUUCUCAUAUUUUUUUGGUUCUAAAUCUGCAUACAAACACAUUAAAGUAUUUUGAUCUACAUUAAUUUUCUUAGUUUCAGUAUAAAUAUCAUCUAGACUUCUCAUAUGAGGUGCCCUUUCAACUGAACUUUGAGGAGACAAAACACUUCGAGGUGUUGCUGGUGGAGUUUGAACAUCUAUUGUUGCUCCUUGGACUCCUACUUGUUCAGACUCAUCAUAGUAAGGAAGGAAACUAUAGUCUUCAUCUUUGACAUUCCAAUCCCAAGAACGAUCUUUAUUAAAUUGAACAUCUCUACUGAUCACUUUUCUCCCGCUGCUCUGAUACUGUAACAAUCCGGAUUCCGGACCGACUAGCACCUUGCAUCUUCACUCUUCUGAAAACACAAUAGGCACACAGGCACACAUCAGCAUCACAUCACAUCAUGCAGUCCAUGUAGAAACACAUGAACUCACAACACAUAGCAUAGCAUCAUAUCAUAUGGUCCAUAUGACAAACACAUGACCCCUCAUGCAACAUAUAUCAUGGAUGAACUUGUCACCUACAGCCUACAACAUAGCAGAACAUGCCAUGACCAACUGUGCCAAGGGCCACUCCUGGUCGCUCGGCUCAUCUCAUAUCAGUACAUAUCAUGCCAUCUCGCAGCUAAGGAACCAUCAACAUCCAUAAUACAAACACAAAUGCGCAUGCAUCAUACAUGGCAUUACACAUCAUCAAGCAAGACAGGACUCCUCAUCCUAUCCUAGUGGACAUGAUCUUGAUCUUUCCUAUUGUGCUUGCCCUUCUAAGACAACCUCUUUCCGAUGUGGGAUACCUUCAUCCCUGAGCAUCCUUGCUCAAAACACCGUACUCUUGAGGCCCUAUACUCUGAUACCACUCUGUAACGACCCGGAUUCCGGACCGCCACCGGCACUAGGAUCCAGAUCGGCUUAAGGCCGCCGGGACCCGUAGUAAGCCAAACAUACAUCCUCUCACCUGGUUUAAUCCCAUACAUGAUCAACAUUUUCAUAAAACUUUAAACCUUUCCAUAUCCCAGGCUUACCCUGAGUAUGGUCUGAAACUGAAAACUUUUCUUUUCUCUCUACCAAGCUUAACUCAUGCAUGCACAUCCUCAUAACUUUACCCCACUCUGGAGUCCAUAAAGGCUGCUCCAAUGGGAUACCUUAAGCUUGGUUAACAUGAAAACAUUUCAUACAAUAUGAAAACAUUUAUCUUAAAAACUCGUGAUCAUGUACAAUAAAAAGGGAUUAACCAACACUAGGCAAAGCACAACUCUAAGCCUUAUCUCACAUACUUUUCUUAAUUCUACUCUAUCUCUUUACAACAUUGUUCUUUUUCAAUUAUAUCCUUUAUAUACAUCAUGUCCAUUACUAUACUAUUCAAGCAUACAAAACAUAACAUAACAACUCUUUACAUCAACCUUACAUUACUUUCAUUACAUCCAUAAACAUUCACAUCAAGCUUCUCUCAUACAUAAACAUGCCACUCUAACAAAACUCAGCUAAGCUAUUACAACCAAACAUGGCAACCCAUGCUUAAACUCUGCUUUCCCCAUAGCUCACUCUGGCUGAACUCUGGCUCUGCAAAACUGGGGUUAAGGGAAAGGGAUGAGCUACUAGAGCCCAGUGAGUAGAAACCAUAAAAAUAGUUCAUUCAUUCAUUGCAUGCUUUCAUGAUAUGUGUCACAGCACAAACAUUUCACAUCUCGGAUUAGACAUGACCCCAGGACUCCCUCUGUCGGUGCCCGGUCCCUAAAGGAGCUCUCACAGGUCACUACAUGCUCUAGUGCCCGGCCCCCUUCUAUGGAGCUCACACAGGACUUAUCUAGGCAUAACAGAUUUGUGGGCUACUGAAGUCACCUUGGUCCAAUCCACACCAACAAUUAAUAAUGCAAUGAAACAUAUUCGUGAUCUCUAAUGCGAUGCAACCUAGUGUCAUAUGGCAUUCAUGAUGCGUGUCUUAUGCUCAUACUGUCAUUACCUUUAAACAUUAAUUUAAAACAUGCAUAGUUAGUUCUACUCACCUGAAGCCACUUUAGUUCUACUCACCUGAAGCCACUGCUCAGCUAACUCUACUGGGCCAACUAGCACUGAAGCUAGACACCUCGACGUCUCAAGUCUGAUCCUACACAGAUGGACUCACAUGAGGUACCAAACAACUCUAAAAUAGACAUAAACAUCUCCCCAAAAACCCCCUAAAACAUCCUCAAAACAUGCAUAGAACAUACCCAUGGAAGGGCUGGACAGGGUACUUUCGGCGGCACUUUCGGCGGCCGAAGGUCCCUUCCAGAGCCGAAAGCCAUGCAGGUUCGGCGGCACCUUCGGCGGCCGAAACCUCACUCCAGAUCCGAAAGUCAGGCACUUUCGGCGGCACCUUCGGCGGCCGAAAGUCUGCUCCAGAUCCGAAACUCAACUUUCGGGGGCAAGGUUAGGCGGCCAAACCAUGCAUCCACAGGCAGGUUCGGCGGCCGAAACUACCUUCGGAUGCCGAACCUGAGUUCAUCCGAACCCAGCCUCUCGUGCAUAUCAGCCUCCCAACUCCCCAAAACAAACCCCAAACCUCACAUACUCUCUCCCAAACAUGCAUACACACUCCCACAAGCAUAAAGGAGCAUAAACUAACAUAAACUCCUCAACACAAACAUCACAUAACACACAUUGGGCAUAAAACCCACAUAAACCUAAACAUGCAUAUCUACACUUACCUCUUUAAGAUCGAGGGAUGGUGCGAUCCCUAACUUGGAGAUGUGGAGGAUUCAAGCUCCAAAGCCUCCAAGCUCCCAAAACUCCUAUUUAAGCUUCAAAACUUCAAAACAAGGGUAAAACUCAUGAAAACUUGAGGGAUGGGUAGAGAAAACAUAAAAACGACCAAAGGAGGGCAAAAACUCACCUGAGCUCGAGAAUGGGGAGAAAACUCGCCCAUUUCCGAUCUGAGGGCUCUUUAUAGGUGGCCUGGUCAACGAUUUUCGGCAGCCUAACGUGCCCCCUAAACUCAUGCAUGUUCGGCGGCCGAACUUGAGGUUCGGCGGCUGAACCUUGGCUCGUUCAAACAAGGCUUUCGGAGGCCAAAAACGUUCCCGAAACCUUUCCAUGUUCGGCGGCCGAACCUGGCAAAAGCCUCCUUGGUCUUUUCUCUUCAAAACUCAAAACCUUUCCUUUUCAAAACCAUAAAACACUUAAAACCAUUUUAGGAAACCUUUCCUUAACCCUUGCUAUACCCCUUAAAAAGGAUCCGACAUCCGAAACUCCACCGGACGGUAGGAAUUCCGAUGCCUGAAUGAGCGGGGUCUUACAGAUACCACUUGUUGAAAAACGUGAUGGGCUUUAAUCUCACUUUGAUAAAAAAGACAAUAAGGAAAACGAUGAAGGUAUAAAGAGAGAAUGAAAGAGUUAAUAAAGUGAAGUGAGCCCAAUCCAAAUUAGCUAAGGGCAUUUUGGAGAAGGCCACCACAUCAAGCUUAAUUAAGCCUCAUUAUAGGGUCUAAAACUCUCACCAUAUGCAGACUUGGAUCAAGCCCAUCAUCAAAUUCUAAUAGUGGUAUGAGAGCCCAAAUGGCCUCAUGGCCCAUGAAAAUUCAAAGUCUAAGAAAUUUUCUUGUGGGUUGGGCUGGCAAUUACAGGCUAGACCCAUUAAGUUAAAAAUGCUGAAAGCCUAUGUCCUCUGAGGUUCAAGAAGAGUACAAGCCCAAACAAAAAAUGAGAAGGGAGACCUGAGGCCUCUAAGACUUAGAAAAAAAAAAAAAAGAACACAAGCCUAGGAUGAUAAAAUGAAGGAAAGUCACAACUGGGUCAAAUCAGUUGGACUUGAGGGGGAGUGUUGGAGAAGUGGGAAUCCCAUAUCAGUAAAAGAAAAUGAGAAAGAAAGAGUUAAUAAUGUGAAGUGAGCCUAAUCCAAAUUGUCUAAAGGCAUUUUAGAGAAGGCCACCACAUCAAGCUCAAUUAAGCCCUAUUAUAAGGACCAACACUCUCAUCACGUGCAGACUUAGACUGGACUUGUCAUCAAAUUCCAACAGAAAGGUGACAAACCGUCUAAAUGAGAUCAUUUCAUUGAUUUCUAUUCUAAUAAUAUUUUUACUGAUUACAAAAAAGGACAUCCAUUAAUUUGCUUUUUACAUAUGUUUUAUGUAUCAAGGCAUAAUCCAAGCAAUGACCAUAUCUCUGCUUUCAUGAGUUUCCAGACAUAUAUAGUUGACUAUUAUUUGAUUAGCCAUGAUAUAAGGAUUUCUUCUUUAUUCUCCUUCAUUCUAAACCAUGACAAAUGUUAACUCAUCUGCUGCAUCCCAAAUUCUAAUCACCACUAAAUCUUCCUUUACUGAAACUAGCCUUAUUUCUAUCAGUGCCUCUACUCAAGCUCCACUGAAGUUUAUUACAGAAAAUUAUAUUUGUUGGCAUGCUCAAUGAAACUCUCUCUUCAUUAGUUAUAAUUUGUUAGGCUAUAUCAAUGGCACCCUUGAAUGUGCUACCGAGACCAUCACAUCUUGGCUUAAACAUGAUAAUUUUAUCCAAAGUGCACUAAUUGCCUCAUUCUCUCCAACAAUUAUCUCUUUUGUCAAGUUCCUAGUAAGUCUUGCAUAAACUUGAAAUCACAUGUCAAUAAUCCCCCAUUAUUGUAUUCUUUUUUCAAUAAAGCAAAUAAAUUUUCAUCUUCAAAACUUGCACAUUCCAUUAUCCAACUCCCAUACUCAUUCUCCAUCGCUCUUAGAGUCAUUAUCUGCAAAUAACUCAUCCACUCCAUCUCUUUUACCCAAAGCCCCUGUGUCCACCGCAACUCAUCCAUAAUUUCUUGUCAAGGCGAAAUCAAAAUUUUUUUCUUGAGGAAGCCAAUUAAAAAUACGUAUUUACUUAAAUAAAUUGAAUAAAAAAAAUUUAUUGAUUGAAUUUUCAACCAAUUUUAAAAUGUUUCAUGAAUUAAAUUAUGAUUACGAGAAAAUAAUAAAAUCAAAUUGAAAGAUUUUUUAUAACACCAUCUACCCAUAAAUUUAAUUGGACGAGCGGAGAUGUCAUAUUCUGUGAAAGUCUCUUAUUUUCUUUUAAUUAAUAUCAUAUAAUUCAUGAUUUUUUUAUUUUUAUUAUUAUUAUUUUUUUAUCGAAAAAUUCGACAGAAUCUCCUUUAUAGUAUGAAUCUAAUUCCACCUGUAAAUAGUAAAAUUUACACUUCAAAUAAACUCUAACCUUAUCCCCUUUACUUCUUCAAUAAUUCUCAACACAAUUCAAACUUCGAAUAUCUUUUUCCAUCAAAUCUCAACAUAACACUUCAUGCAAAAUAACUACAUAGUUACACCAAAAUAAAAUUCUUUUUAUAUAAUAUUUAUUACAACCCAUAUAUCUAUUAUGUACAUGCCAUAAUUAUACAAAAUUUUAAAAUGUAUCCAAAAGCAGCUAGAUAUAACUCUUUGGUUGAUACAGAUAUGAUAUUAUGAUAUCUUUAUCCACAACCUGCAUGAGAAAAAGAAAUUUCUACAUGCUAAACAUAAUGCUCAGUGGAGCUCAAUUUUUCUUAAAUAAAAUAUUUUAACAAAAUUUUAAUUGACAAUCAUAAAUUAAAUAAACAUUAAUAAAUUAUAUAAUAAAUAAUAUGAAAUAAUUUUCAAUCAUAUAAUUAUUUUAAUUGCUCAUAUUUUAAUUCCAUAAUUAUUUUACACAAUGUAAAUAGUUUUAUUUUCUUUUAAUACUCUUUUAUUUUUAUUUAUUUUUCGAUCCUAAUAAAUUUAAAUUUAAAUGAGACCGUUAAGUCUAUGAGUAUAAAGUGCCAAAUAACUGUAUGACUCAAAAAGCAUAUCUAUAACUGUAGUGGUAGGACACAUUAGUCGUACCAAUGGAGUACCUCAUUGUAUCUCUAAAAUCAAUGUAACUAUAGUGCAGCACUGCUAAACUGAAUAUAGCAUGCCACACCCUUAAACUAACUCACAAUUCCCACCAAACUUACUAGGGUUGGGUAUUAAUCAUUAUUUCAAUAUUUAAUUAUGAGAAUAAUUAUUUCAUAUAAUGUAGCUUUAAAAUAUAUUUCAUCUAUUUAUGAGACUUUAUCGUUUUACAAUUAUGAUUUAAAAUAUUUCUAUAUCAUGUAAAUCUAUUACUUUAGCUCAACCAUAAAAAUUGCAAAAUUCAUAAUUUAGUCCCCAAUUUAAUUUAACUAAUUUAUCUUUUCAUCUAAUUUAAUAUCUUUUUCUUAUUUAUCACAUUUACACUAAAUCACUGUUUUCUUUUCUCUUAAUUCUCUUUUCCUAUUUUAUCUUUAUAAUUGAAUUAUUAGCUUUUAUAAAAUUUUAGCUAUGUUCAUUCAAUCCCUUACAAAAUUACUUUCACAUGAUAUUUUUAUCUUUAGUCUAUAUAUUUUCCAAUAAUUUGCACUUUCAUCCUAAUUUCUCAUACUAUCAAUUUGACUUACAUAGACUUAAUUCCAUUUUAGUCCUUAAUAAAUUUCCAAUCAAUUAUUGAGCUCAAUUCAAAAUUUUUUUAUUAGCCCAAACAACCUUCCUUUAGCUCUGAUUUAACCUGAAUGACAUCAUUUAACAUAUAAGAAUUAAUUUUCUUUAUUUAGUCCAAAUUUAAUUUUUACUAAGCUAAUCUUCCUCUUUCUAAUUUUCCUUUUAGUCCAUCAAAUUUUUAUUAUCACUAUAUUUGAGCUAAUUUACAACCCUAUCCAAGAAAGUAAUAAAGUUUUACUUUGGUCCAUGACUUGAGUUUUGGUCAAAUUACAUAUCAAUACCAAAAUUUUCUUUCUAUCAAUUCUAGCAUUAUUCAAACUUAUAACAUUCCAUACAACUCAAAUAAUACUCAUUUUAUUCAAUUCCACCAAGAAAGAAGACUUUCAAAUUGUACAUACUUGAAAAAUUAUUAAAUUUAUUCAUGUAAAGUUGAGCACAAACCUUAAACUUCUAAAAAUCUUCUCAAACUUUAAUUUUCUACUAUUUCUUUCCUUUUCCUUCAGAAAUUUCACUCUUCCCUUCAAUUUAUUCUUCAUGAAAUAUAAGCAAAUUAAAUCAUAGGAAUUCAAUAUCCUCCAUAUAUAUAAAUGUAAAAAUAAUAAGAAAUAUUCCUACAUCAAAAGCCCCCUAACAUACUUGUAGAAUCUCUACACUUGAUUACUAUUAACGCAUCUUUCUUCCUUAAUUUCCUCCUUAUUUCUCUCAUUUUCUUGGAUUUGGAGCUAGCAAAGGGAUUUGAGAUGGAAGGAGAGUUGUUGUUGGAUGAAAAUUAGGUGAGAUUUGGUGUAGGGAAUGAUGGAGCAAAUGGAGAAUUUCUCCUUCAAGGUUUCGGCCACCAUGAGGAGAAGAAGAAGAUAAUGGCUUUUUCUCUAUUAUUCUAGAAUUAACUACUAAUUUGGAUGGCCAAUAUUUAGCCAUGUGCACUUUAAUCUAAAGGGUUCAUAUUAAACCUUGCCAAAAAUAUCUUAUUUUGUGCAUUUUAUUCCAAAUUUCUCCUAAUUGGACAUUAACUCUCAAUUUUUUCAUAUUUAGAUAUUUUCCCACUUCUUUAAUCACUUGAUUAAGUUCAACCAUUUUUAAUUUUGACCAAAUUCAAACUAUUAUCUUUUUUAAUAAUACCAAAUAAGUACAUAGAUUGAUUUUUCAUUUGAGUUUUUCACUAUCCUAAUGGACUUAUUUUAUUUCCAGAUUAAUUAUUUGAAUGUAAUUUAAAUAGUACUAUUUACGGAUGGAAAAAAAAUAUCAGACACCUUUCGAAUGGUACUAUUCACUUUCCAAGAAUUGCAUUAUUCAUGAUCAAAAUUUUCAAAGCAUUACAUUUUUAUUGAAUUAAAUUCUUGUAUAAAAUUUAUAGAGUUAAAAAUUAAAAAAUAAUAUAAAUCUUAAAUAUAUGAAAUAAUAAUAAAAUUUUUUUAAAAAAGGUAUUAAUAAGUAAAAAGAGACAUAAAAAAUUAAAAAUUAGUAAAAUUUAAAGUAAACAUAUCAAACAAAAAAAUAAAUACAUAUCUAAGUUAAUAAUAAAUGCAUCAAACAAAAAUAAAUGUACAUCUAAGUUAAUAAAUCUAAAAUUUAUAAGAGAAAUAAAAUCACUUGUUUUUUGUAAUUAUUAUUAUUAUUAUAUAUAUAUAUAUAUAUAAUAUUUUUUAAUGUGAAUAGGAAAAAUUUUAAUAUAAGAUUAUAUGAUAUGUAGUUAAUAGAUUGUCUUUCAUUUAAUUUAAAAAAAAUUACCCAUUAAAAUUUAAUUUGUAAAUAUAAAAAUUUUAAAAUGAUAUUUAGGUAAAUAUAUAUUUUUUAUAACAACCAAUUAAUUUUUGAUGCUUCAGAAGUAUAAUGUAUGUCGGAAAUUAUUUUAGGAAGUAAAUAAAAAUUUGAGGGAGUUAAUUAAUAAAAAUUUAAAAUUUAUUAUACUACCUCCAUCUCAUAAUUUUUUUCCAAUUUACUUUUAAAUAUAAAUAAAGAAAUAUGAUGGUUAUUUUAGUCAAAAUACAAAUUUUUUCUACUAACUAUACAGUUAUAUUGAAGAGAUAAUAUAUACCCAAGUCAAACGAAGCAGCAGAAGGGAAAGUAAGAAGCACGAUCUCAAAGCAAAACGACGCCGUAGAGAAGGAACCAAAACAACACCGUUUUAUCUAUAAAUGUAGCAUACCCCAGAAAGUUCCAUAAUAGUAUAGGGAACUCAAGUUGUUACAGUUUGUUAGUUUGUUAGAUUUCAGUUUUCCCUUUCAAACGUGUAUAUGAGCAAGGAUUUCAAUCAAUGCACAUCAUCUUUUUCAUUCUCAAAUGACAGUUGCUUUCAAUUAAUGAGAUUCUUUUUUUCAAAAAAAAAAAAACACUUAAAAGCAUUAAGCAUAAAUAAUAAGUAAUUGUAUUAAUAAAAAAAUUAACACAAGAAUAAAGAGUAUCAAUGGGUUCAAGCUAUAUAAGCACCCUAGACUAAAGUUUAAUUACUCACGAGUUUAAAAUAAAAACAUAGAAGUUAUGAAACUCAACACUAAAUCCUUUGUGAGAUACAAAAUAAUAAAAUGAAAAUAAGCUAGAAAGGAGAAAGUUAAACUCUAAGGAAACAGGUUUAAUCCCUCGACCAGCUCUCUUCCUCUCCCUAAAGCUUCUUGCUAUCUCCCCUUGAUAGGAAUGGGUUGUGGGUGCCGGAAAUAAGGUCCUAGGUGUCUAAAAGUGUCUAGCCGCUGGAGAAUGAGAGAAAAUGAGAAUAGUAUUUAGUGUUUUAAUCUAGAGUACUUAGAGAAAAGUCCAGUUUUUAGUUUGUCUCAUGGCUAGCCCGUGUGUGAGAGACCUUCUUCGCAGCCGAGCCAUGAGACCUUUUGCUUAUGAGGGCUUUCAAAGUAUGUCUCAUGAUCAGGCUAUAAGUUUUUUUGGCUAUUUUUCAUAGCCUAUCUAUGCAUCUUGGUGAUUUCUCACAGAUAGGCCAUAAGACUUGGUCAUUUCUCUAUGUUUUCAUAAUCUUGAUUUUUUUCCUUUUCGAAUCGUUUGGGUGUGAAAUUUGACUUUUAUAAGACCUUCAAAUAUUUUAAAUAAUUUCCAAUUCACCAUAAAUACAUCAAUUGAUCUUCACACAAUUUCACCGUAUUGUUUAGUGCACGGUUAAUUAACUACCAUUUUUCAUACAAAGGCAGAAUUUUACUUCAAGAAUGUAUAAUAGAGUAGCUCCACUAGAGAGAAAUUUUAUCUUUUUCUCUUACAAAAAUCUCAUUCAAACUCAAAAUCUUCUUGACCUUUUUAUCUUAAUUCUUUUUAAGUUUGAGUGUGAUUAAUUUUCUCUUCAAGAGAAAAUAAAAUAAAUAAAUAUAAAUAUAAUCAUGGGAUGGUGGGCUGCCCAUUAUUUUUUAAAAUUUUAUUUUCACAUUUUUUUUAAAAAAUUUUAACUAAAAGAGAAUCUUUAAAUGAGUUUUGAGUAAUAAGGCACUACACCUUAUUUUGGGCCUUUUAAUUAUGGACUCGGUCAUAGAUGGAUAAUUUUCUUCGCUUACCUUGUACGUCAAUAAUUCAUUAUCUUCUGUUUCAUAUUAUUUAUUUUAUAAAAUCAUAUAUAAUUUUAAUUUUUUAAUUUAAAAAUUUGAAUAUUUUUAUUCUAAAGAAAGAAAAAUAGUAGAAAAUAAAUAAUUUGAAUUAAAUUUUCAAACAUAAAGUGGACCGUGAAAUCAAUGAAAUUUGGAAGGUGAUACAUAUUAUAGGAUUUAGAGAAUCAAAACUAAUUUAAGAUUAUUCUAGAAGAAUCUUUUUUUUUUUUCCUUUCUUUAGUCGGUUAUUUGUUGAGUUGUAUAUAUAUAUAUAUAUAUGGAUUUCUCCCAAAAUAUUUAAUAUAUGAAAGAUUUUAUUUUCUCUCAGUAAAUCAAUAUAUUAUCUAGUAAUAAUUUUUUCUUAGUUCGAGGCUCUUUUUCUUCGGUCUUUCUUGAGUCUUUCUUUUCAGUUCUUUCACGCAUGUCCUUUCUUCUUCUUGCCUUUUUCUUCUUUACCUUCUCUUCCAAACCCUAACUAUAGCGGCAAAGCCGUCUGCUAACUCUAAAGCCACAAAUCUAGCAAACGAUUACCUUACUAAUCCAUCCAAUCCUUUUUUUCUUCAUCCAAUCCUUUUUUUCUUCAUCCAAAUGAAAAUUCAUCAAUGCAUAUAAUGGUGUCUCCAGUUCUCCCUGGACCAAACUAUCACUCUUAGGCUAGAGCGAUGAAAAUGGCGCUACAAUCAAAGAACAAAACCAGAUUCCUUGAUGAUACUCUAAAGAUGCCAGAAAAAGAUGACUCUAUGUUUGCAGCAUAGAAUAGAUGCAAUAAUAUAGUUUUCUCAUGGAUAAUGAGAUCUCUCUCAAUCUAUCACUCGAAGCAUCUUCUUGAUCGAUGUUGCGACUGAUACAUAGCGAGAUUUGCAUGAUCGUUUUUCUUAAGGUGAUAUGUUUUGUAUUUCUAAUUUAUAAGAAGAGAAUUAUAGUUUUAAGGUGAUUUGUCUAUAACCAAUUAUUUUACUCACUUGAAAACUCUUUUGGAUGAAUUAAACAAUUUUAGACUUAUACCACAGUGUGUUUACCUUAAUCCUUGCAGUUGUGGUGUUUUUAAAACUGUGAACACUCAUAAACAGAAUGACUAUGUCAUCCAUUUCUUGAAAGGUCUCAAUGAUCUUUUUGGCAAUGCUAGAUCUCAAAUAAUGAUGAUGGAUCAUUUGUCAUGCAUCAAUAAGGCUUUCUCCCUUGUGGUUCAACAAGAGAGACAACUUAAUUUAGGAUUAAUUACUGAGCCUAAGGGUCUUGUAGCCAAAUCUCCUCAAGAUUUUUCACAAACAUUUUCUUAUGGAAGAGGAACUCUCUUUUCUUUUAAUCGUGAUCAUAAACGAUUUGUUUCUCAGUCUAAUAUCAAGCUUUGUACCUUUUGUAGUAAAAUGAGACAUACUAAAAAAACUUGUUAUCGUAAGCAUGGCUUUCCUCCUAGUUUCAAAUUCAGGAAUAACAUUGUUGCUAGCAUUAAUAAUAAUUGUACAAAAAGGAUUGAACCUUCACCUGGUGUUAGUGCUGUUUAGUCUAAUCUUGACAAUUUAGUACCUAUUUUCACACCCGAUCAAUAUCAACACUUUCUUGCUUUAAUUCAACAUGCUAAGAUUUAGCAAAAAGUGCACAAUACCAAACAUAUUAGUACAUCUGAAGCAGCUGGUUCAGACAAUCUUCAUUUUACAACUUCUUGUUUCAAGUUAUCAAGUAAUUCUUUAAUUUUGUCUUGUGUUUCACAUACUAAUGAGUAGGUUUUAGAUACUGGAGCUACUACUCAUGUGCGUUUUGCCCUUAGCCUUUUUAUGACAUAUAAGAAAAUUAAAGCUAUUCAUAUUAAACUAACAAAUGGUGAUAUUGUUUCUAGAAACAUCUCAGGAACAAUUUUUUUUUCCAAAACAGUUCAUUUUAUUUGAAGUUUUAUACAUUUCACAGUUUACUUUCAAUCUUGUUUCAGUUACCAAAUUGACCUUUUCUCUUUAAUGUCUAUUUAUUUUUCACCAUGACAAAUGUGUUAUACAGGAUAAUAAUACAUUGAAAAGGAUUAGUUUCGGAGGUAAGAAAUGGUCUUUAUAUCUUAACAGAUCCUAUUCUAUCCUCUAAUAAUAUUGUUUUGCUAUCUGAUAGUAAUUAUGGCUUGUAUUCUCCUUGUAAUAUUUUUAAUAUGUGGCAUUUUAGGUUAGGACAUCCUUCUGCUUCUGUUAUGCAUCUUAUUAAGCAUAAAUAUUCUUUUGUGAUAAUUCUAGAUAAUAAAGUUCGUGAUAUUUGUCAUUUUAUUAAACAAAAAAGGUUACUUUUUCCCACUAGUUUCACAAAGUCUUCUGUCGUGUUUGAUUUGGUUCAUGCUGAUAUUUGGGGACUUUUAAGGUCAUGCCUGUCCAUGGACACAAAUAUUUUUAACUACAGUCGAUGAUUUUUCUAGACGUACUUAGAAUUUUUUGAUGAAACACUAAUCUAAAGCACCUGUUUUAAUUCAAUCCUUUAUUAAUCUCAUAGAAACACAAUUUAGUACCAAGUUUAAGGUUAUUAAAAGUGAUAAUGGUCCUGAAUUUAAUAUGGUUUAAUUUUUUGCUCUCAAGGGUAUUAUUCAUCAAACUAGUUGUGUGGAGCCUCCACAAUAAAAUUUUGUAACUGAAAUAAAAUAUCAAUAUUUUAAAUGUGGCAAGAGCUUUGCUCUUCCAGGCUUAGAUGCCAAAAAUGUUCUGGUCCUAAGUUGUUUUUUAUUCUGGUUUUUUGCCUACACCUCUCCUUACUGAUAAAUCACCUUAUGAAUACUUUAUGAUAAGAUUCCUUAUUUAUCUUUCCUCAAAUUUUUUGUUUUCUAUGCUUGGCUGCUACUCUUAUUGCAGUUAAAACCAAAUUUAAUUCUAAGGCAAGGAAAAAUAUUUUCUUGGAUUACAAAACUAGUGUCAAGGGCUUUGUUCUAUAUGACUUGACUUCCAGAAAAAAUUUCAUUUCUAGAAAUGUCAUAUUCUAUGAAUUUGUUUUUCCCUAUGCUUCUCAUACUUCCAAAUUUCUUCACCACAUGAAGUAGUGUUACCUCAAGAUUGUAUCAUCCUUGAUUCCCCUAUUUCUUUUUCAUCGACUUCUUGAAUCCUGAGUCUUCUUCUUUCCCUGGGCAUGCUUUAAUCCCUGUUGAACCUACUAUUCCUAUUAAUCCUCUUCCUGUUCUCUCUAGACAGUCCAUUAGACUUAAAAGUAAACCUUCCUAUUUGUAGGAUUACCAUUGCAAUUUGCUCAACUUUGUUUCUCCUAUAAGUUCUUCUAGUAUCCUUCAUCCUAUCUCUCAAGUUCUUUCAUAUGAUUAUCUUUCACCAUCCUAUAGGCAUUCUAUUCUUUUUGCCUCUAUUUUCAUAGAACCUAAACAUUACCAUCAAGCAGUUAAGUUUGCUCGCUGGUGAGAGGCUAUGCAAGCUGAGAUAGUUGCUCUCGAACAAAACAAGACUUAGAUUCUUAUUGAUUUACCACAAGGAAAAGAAACCAUUGGUUGCAAAUGGGUUUACAAAGUAAAAUUCAAAGCUAAUGACACUAUAGAGAGAUAUAAGGCAAGACUUGCAGCCAAAGGCUGCAACCAAAGUCUACACUCAAACUGAGGUAUUGAUUUCUUUGAUACUUUCUCACUUGUGGCUAAAAUGACCAUCGUAAGGCUUUUAUUUGCUUUUGCUGCUAAAUAUAAUUGGCAUCUUCAUCAAUUAGAUGUUAAUAAUACUUUCUUGCAUAGGGAUCUCAAUGAGAAAGUUUACAUGAUUUUGCCUCCUGAUUUUUAUACAACCACAUCUAAUAAAGUUUGUAAACUUCUCAAGUCCUUAUAUGGCUUGAAAAUAACUAGUAGACAAUGGUUCUCCAACUUCUCCUACUUUAAUUGAUUUUGGUUAUACUCAAAGUAAAUUAAAUUACUCUAUAUUUAUCAAAACAUCUCCCUCUAUGGAAGAAAAAUAGCAUGUAAAAACUUUUAUUGAUACUUCCUUUAAAAUAAAAGAUCUUGGAGUCUUAAAAUUUUUUAUGGGCUUGGAAAUUGUCAGAUCUUCAAAAGGUAUUGUGUUUAAUCAGAUAAAAUAUGCCUUAGAUAUUCUCUUUGAUGUGAGUUAUAAAGACAAAGGCACUUUACUGUUUGAUCCUUCUAUCUAUAGAAGGCUUGUUGGUCGUUUACUAUGUCUUACUAUUACUAGACCUGAUCUUACUUUUGUUCUUCAGCAAUUAAGUCAAUUUUUAUCUCAACUUACUAACCUUCAUUAGCAGGUAGCCCAUAGAGUCUUACGAUACAUUAAAGGUUCUACUCUAGUAUUCUUUUUUUCAGUUGCCUUUGAUCUUCAAUUAAAGAGUUUUAAUGACUCUAAUUGGGUUGGAUGCAUUGAUAUUUGCAGAUCCUUGACCGGUUUCUGUGUUUUUCUUGCCUCUUUUAUGAUAUCUUGGAAAUCCAAAAAAUAGCACACAGUCUCCCGUUCUUCCUCUUAGGCUGAGUAUAAAGCUCUUGCUGCCCUUACUUGUGAAUUACAAUAGCUAACUUAUUUACUUCAUAAUUUUCAGAUUUCCUAUAAAUCUCCUGCUCUAGUUUUUUAUGAUAAUCAAAGUACUUUAUACAUUGCUGCUAAUCCUACGUUUCAUGAGCUCAUAAAACACAUCGAACUUGAUUGUCACCUUGUUCUCGAGAAAGUGCAAGUUAGUGUUCUUAAACUUUUUUAUAUCUCUACAGCUGCUCAACUUGCUGAUAUCUUCAAUGAACCCUUAGUGUUUCCCAUUUUCUCUACAUUGAAGUUUAAGCAGGAAAUAAUUAAUAUUCAUUCUCCAACCCCUAUAUUACAGGAUUCAGAGAAUUCAAAUUAAUUCAAAAUUAUUUUUGAAGGAUCUUUUCUAUUUCUUUUAUUUCUUUAGUCAGUUAUUUCCUGAGUUGUAUGUAUAUAAAUUUCUCCCAAAAUAUUUAAUAUAUGAAAGAUUUUAUUUUCUCUCAGAAAAUCAAAAAUACAUCUUCAAUUUCAUAAUUUCAAGAAACUCAACCUCAUCAUCCACUUUGUUUUUAGAAAGUCCCUUCACCUCUUUCUCGAUCUAAAUUUUCUAUGAACGAAAAUAAUAUAAUAUUUUUAUUUUAACGAUAUUAAUAUAUUAAACAAUAUAUUAGUUCAUAUUUAUUUUAGUCCACUAUUUAGCCUCUGUCCCGUCUAAAUCAAGUUUUUGUUAAUUAAUGUAUCCAAAAGAGAGAGGAAUUACUACUACGGGACCGAAUAAUUCAAACUAAUACCUUAUAUAACUAGAAUUGAAGGACUAAGGAAUAAACAAGAUAAAAAUAUAAGGACUAACAAAUAUAAUUUUGAUUGUAGGAGAUCAAAUAAUUAGUUUUAUUUAAAUAGAGUAUUUAAAUAGCAAUUUUUAUUUAUAAUUUAUAUAUUACGAUUAAAUUGAAACUUUAAAAUUAUUUAUUUUCAUAAAAAAUAUAAAAUUUAACUAAAAUUAUUUUAUACCAACUUUUAUAUUUAUAAACUAAAAUUUAAUUGGUAAUAUUAUUUAAAAAUUGAAUACUAAGUUUUCUUUUUCUAAUAUAGGAAUAGUAUAGUUAAAUCUGAGGCUCAUAUGUUUAAACAUUAAUUUUUUAUUAAUGUGCGAUGCAUGAUAUUAUACUCGUUAUUUAUUUUUUUAUAUAAUAUUAUAUAUUAGUAAAAAUUUUAAAAUAUAUAUAUAAUAAUAUUAGUGAAUUUUGAUGGAACUUUUUUUUAAAUAAUAGUGCGUUGAUUAAAUUUAUCAAUAAAUAAUGUUGCUCUAAAGGUUUAUUGUUUCGGCUUAGAGUACGACUAAUUUAGUAUGAGCCGCAUAAACUCUCAAUUUUUUUUUCUAUCGUUAAAAUGGAGAAUUGAUGGAUCGAAUCAGAUGAGAUACAAUGUAGAUCCAAUAUAUUAGUAAUAUUUAUAUAUGAAUAAUUGAAAUUUGAUAAUAUAAUGCAAGGUUUUUUUGAUGAUUUAACUGAUUUUUUCUUAAAUUUUUUUGGAUUGCAAAAUAAAUUUAAAAAAACUCUAAAAAAAAAUUUAGAAAAAUAGAAAAAAAGGUUUUAUGUUCGGUUCGUGACUCUUAAAUGCCAAAUUAUUUUUGUAUCGAUCGUACCACUCUAUUUUCCUCCCGCGGGGCGACAUGGAGGAAAAGAAAAAAGAGAAAUGAUAUUUCUCUCACUUUUGGCAUAGCGGGCCUCAAUAUAUUUUUACUCUAAAUAAGUAUAAGCAUAGUUAUCAAAUUAAAAUAGAAUAAGUGUAAUUUUAAUUUAAUUAGAAAGUUUAUUAAGCCAAAAUAAAAAUUUUAAUAUUAUUAUAUUUUUAUAUAAUCUAGUUUUAUAAUAUAUAUGCAUGGCUCAUUUAAUCUAUAAUCACUAAAUUCUAAAAUUUUUCAAAAAUUUAAAUUAUAUUUAUAUUGAAAUUAAAAUGUAGAAUAACUCUAAUAAAAAUCUAUAAUAACCAAUUAAAUUUAUUUAUGAAAAUUUAGUCAUAAAUAUAUUCAUCGCAUGAAGGCAAGACAAGCAGUAAACUAUAGUACAGUAAAAAUUAGUUAUUUCAUAAAAAUAAUAACUUAAAGCCUAAUUAAAAAGUUUUUCAGUGAUUGAAAGGCCUAUCAAUAAUAUUAUAGUGAUCAAAAGCUCAAAAUUUACUUUUUAGUGAGCAUAUUUGGUACGAACAGAAUUUAAUCUCUACCAAUAAAUUUAGUCUUUAUUCAAUAAAUUUAAAAAUAUAUAUUAUUAUAAAAAAUAAUAGUAAUAAUAAUAGGGUGAUCAAAAGCAAUAACUAAAAUAAAACUAAAAAAGGUAUAAUUUUUUUUUCAAUCUUUUCCUUAUCGAAAUUAAAACAAAAAGUUAAUAGUAACACGUAAUUGGACUUUAUAUAGCAAUUUCCAAUAAAAAAUAUUAAAAAAAUUUCCAAUAAAAUAUUGAGAAAAGGUAUAAUUUUAAGAACUAAAAGAUUUGAGGAAUUAAAAAAUCGAGUUUGAGAAAAAGAUGUUUGACUUGCAUAAAUAACAAUAGCAUAUAAUAUAUUUAUGAUCGCAAUUCUUGUAUUAUAUUGAUAAUAAUAUCUGUAAAUAAAAGAUAAUAGAGUUUUUAGCAUAACAAUUCAUCAUCUCUUAGUUGUAAAGAUAAGCUAAAUUUUAAAACUAAACAUGAUAGUAUAGGAUAACUCUUGUUAAUUUAUAAAAAUAAAAUAGUAAUAUGUAUUUAAUUAUAUACCUACUAAAUAAUUUUAUUAUUCCUUAUUUUCACUUUAUAUUGUAUAUAAUAACUAUAAUAUUAUAAAUAGUUUAUUUUAUUGAAUAUAAAAAUAUUUUUUGUCGAAAAUAAAUUUAAUAUAAAAUGAUUAAAAGUAUAAAUAAUUGUUUAGAAUAAUAUUGAAAAUUUAGAAAAUUAAAUGUAUGUAUUUUUUACCCAGAAUAUAAUAAACAAAAAUAGUUUCAAUAAAUUAAAUUAAAAAUAUAGAUAUAAUUUGAAUAGGACUUUUCACCCACAGAUCAAAAUUACCACCUAUAUCCCUGUAUCUUAAAAUAAUAUAUAAUAGUAAUAUAUAUACAUAUAUAUAAAAUUAAUAAGUAUACACAUUGAUGUUGCUGAAACCAAAUUGAUGACGUGGCCGGAAUAAAACUGUGUUGUAAUUAGUCCAAUAGAGUUAUGCUAUAAUUGGUUCACUUGUAAGAUAAAGAAUGUGAGGUGGUUGGUGCCUGCAAUAGCCAUUUCGAUACUUAAGUCAAUAAGUUGAAAAAAAGGGCGAGUAUAAUAUAUAAAACUCAAGUGUAGUUGUGUGAAAGAAUAACAAACAUUUGCCUCUAUUAUCAUUCCCCUUUUAUCCUGUAAGAAGAUGGGAAUAAAUAUAGCAUUUUCUAAUAAUUCAUUAAUGAUGUGGCCGGCUUGUUGGUAAGAGAUUUUCACUGGCUAAUUGGUAAGGAAUCCUGUGAUUGCAGGCAUAAAAAAGAUCUGCUGAAUUGCAGUUGUUAAUAGAAACUUCCUUAUGGAGUCUCGCCCUGAAGUUGAGAGGGCGAGUCUGUUCGACUUGAGGCCGAUCUGUCUUGAGACUAACCUAAAGUGUCUGGGUCUUCUUUUCUCUCAAUUUCGAGCAUCAUGGUCAUCCGAGCCUUCAUUUCUAUGGGUGAGACUGUGUGUUGGUUUAUCAGAUUCUUGCCAUGUGGCCCUGUCUUAUAGUGACAGCUUAUUGCCUACUUUGGGCAAGUAUUGUGUAAUAUCAGAGGUCCCCUGCUGGUAUUCAAUUCUUUAGAUUUGAAGGUGACAAUUUAUCUUCAUGAUCUGGGGCAUGUGGCUUGUUUAUCCGGGCUAAGCACACGAUGUCCUUACUUUCUUCUUCCUUGCUCUGCCGACUUGUCAAGUCCAAGAUCUCGUCUAUCAAAAAUUGAUCCGAGUGAUAUAGUAUUGCCUUGAUGAGCUUUCCGACAUUCUCCAAUCCUAACGUGCUUCCAGGCAUUCUCUAGACCUGACGAGCUUUUAGGAAUUCUCUGUUGGGAAAUCCCGAAAUUAUUGCAACCCAAAGGCGCAGCGGAAAAAUAAAAUCUCUUUUGAUUUCCCUUCCCAGAAUCCGAGUGCUUCGUUUAAUUCAAAGAAAGUAUACGAAACUAACCUGUUAAUCUCGUCGAGAAGAUAUAAUGUCGGACUGAUGGUGCUGCCUUUUCAAACGAACACCCUCAAUGGUAUCCACACGAACGUCUUCUAUCCUUCUAGAGUGCUAGCUCUCUCAAGGAUGGAUAGAUUAUGUGCUUCACAAUCUGCAGCUUUUUAGACUGAAUUUUCUCAAAAAUAUUGUCAUCCCUCCACAACUCGUAGUAGGAGUAUUUAUAGGUUUCAGUCUUUUCGUUUUUCCACAAUUCUUUUCCUAAAAGAAUUCUUUUCCACAAUUCUUUUCCUAAAAGAAUUGUACAACUCUUUUCCUAAAAGCGUUGUGUUCAGAACCCAUUAUCACAAUCUCACAGAUAGUCAAAUAUCUUUAUGUGAUAGAGUCCUUUAUCUGUAACAGUCACAGAUAGACUGUAGAUCUUUUAAAUAUUAUUAUUUUAUAAUAAUAAAUAAAUAAUUAAUAAUAAUAUUUUAUUAUUAUUAAUUAAUAUUAAUAUUAAUAAUAAUAACACUUUAUUAUUAUUAAUUAUACUAAUGGGUUUUUAGCCCAUUAAUAUAGCACAUCAACAACGUUCUUGUGUGUGACCCAAUAGGCUCAUAUUAAUUGGUAAUAAGCCCAGUCCCACAAGGCCCAUAAAUCAUAAGUGGCCUCUAGCAAAACAUUAUGACUACCCAACUAAUAUGAGGAUCAAUAGUCCAAUAAAGCCUAAUAAAUAGAACAUGUAUUAAUCCCUUUGUCACACGAUAUCUAGUUUGAACAUAAGUCAUGGUCAAUGUCAAACUUAUAAUGUUCAAACUUAUGAUUUCUCGAUCUCUAAGUAGACUGAUAAAUUCAAAUGAUAUUGAUCACACUAUCAAUUCAUUUGAGCACGGCCAUGCAUUUCUCAGUCUCACUUAUCGAGGGGCCCAGAAGAUAUCUCUCUCAUAGAGAGGGACAAAUCCUAUCUUGAUUGUUCAUUAUCCUCUAUAUAAUUUCUAUUAUGCUCACUCAUAACCUUUAUGAUUGUUCGAUUAAAGACAAUAUUUGGUUAUGUCAAAACAUAACAGUCCUCAUGUUGGAAACUAUGACAAUCUCAAGUCAAAGGAUUAAGACAUAACUAUUUUGAGAUUCACUUAUGACAAUAACCCAUGUAGUGAUCUCAGUGCGGGUCCAUCCAAUACUUUGUUCUCUAACAAGUAUCUAUGAUUACUGAUUAUAUCAACAUAUACAUAAUCAUCUCAUGAUUAUCAAUCAAUAAUCAUACUAGUUAUAUUUUUAUUAUUAUCAACAUAAUAAUAAGUAACUAGGGAUGAGAAUCAUUAUUAUGUAACAUGCAAACAAAUAAUAAUGAUAAUAAUAAAAACCUCUUUUAUUAAUAACCAAAAUAACAUACAAAUAGGUCCAAGAUAAUAGUCUAGGGCAAAUAUACUAACAUUCUCUAGCCCUGACAUGCUUCUGGGCAUUCUCUAGCUCUGACGUGGUUUCGGGCAUUCUCUAGCCCUGAUGAGCUUCUAGUCAUCUUGCAGAUUUCACUUAAGGUUCUGGGCAUUUUCCAGCCCUAUCAAUCUUUUGGGCAUUCUCUAGCCCUAACGAGAUUUCGGGUAUUUUCUAGCCAUAUCGAGUUUUCGGGCAUUUUCCUUGCCCUGUCGAGCUUCCGGGCAUUCUCCUUGCUCUAUCGAGCUUCGUUGGCCUUUUCUGGCCUUGACGGGCUUCCGUGCAUUUUCUAGCCCUGACGAGCUUCCAGACAUUUUCUAGCAUUUGCAAGCUUCUUGGCAUUUUCUGACCUUGACGGGCUUCCGGUCCUUUUCCUUCUUAAGGUUUCCACUCGUUUGCUUAGCAGCCCAUCUUCGCCAAUCGUUAAAAAGUCUCGCUCGCCUGCAAUGGGCCUUCUUUUUUUUUUGUAAAAAGUUUGAAUUUUUGCGAGUAAUUAUAAGAGGAGUGUCAAAUGCCUUAGAGACUUCUUGUGAAGCGGGAUUAUCAUCCGGUCAGUCGGCCUGGCAUCAAAUGCGUUAGAAAUUUUUUGUGAAGCGGGACUAUCACCUGGUUGAUCAGUCUAGUGUAUACCCGCCUUGUGGCCUUAAGAAUUUUGUUUAUUGGGACUAACACUCGAUCUUCUGACCUGAGGAAUUCCCAACUUAUGGCCUUUCUUUAUUUGUUUCUGCGGUCAAACGCUCGAAUGAUGGCCUGGUGACUGUCUUAUGGCCUUUCUUUGUUUGUUUAUACGGUCCAAUGCCUAGAUUAUAGCGUGGCAAUUGCCUUAUGGCCUUUCUUUAUUUCUACGGUCCAAUGCUCAGAUUAUGGCCUGACAUGAGAUGCCUUGUUAUGUGAGACCAAUGCCUAGAUGGCUUUGUGGACCUUUAUUAGGGCUAAUGCCCAGAUGUCUUAGCGGAUUCCCACCUCUGUGACCUGGCAUGAGAUGCCUUGCUAUGCAGAACCGAUGCUCGAAUGGCCUUGUGGCCCUUUAUUGGAGCUAACGCCCGGAUGGUCUGGCGGAUUCCCGCCUUGUGGGUGCUUUUUGACAAGUUAACAUGUAAUCUCAUGUAUACAGGGUGCUUUUUUUCGAUUUGUCAAUGAAGAAUUUUAGAGUAUUUUUAUAUUUCACUCUUAUCUUUACAAGUGAUUUACCUGACUAUUUAUAUAGAGGAUUACGACUAAAAAUAAAGCACAUAAUCAAAUAAUUACAAAUAAAUUUAAGGAUCCUAAUUUAUGCCUAGAAUUAAUAAUCAAAUCAAAUCAUAUCAUUAGAAAUCAGCAAAUAAGUCAAUCACUCUCCCUCAAGUUGGUGCAUGGAUAUCACACAUGCCCAAUUUGUAAAUCAGAUUAUAGUAGGUUUUAUUAUUAAGGCCUUUAGUAAACACAUUCACGAGUUUCCCAAUAGAAGUUACAUGAACUAAGCUCAAGACAAUAUCUGUUAAUUUUUCUUUAAUAAAGUGUUGAUCAAUCUCAAUAUGCUUCGUUCGGUCAUAUUGAACUAGAUUUUAUGCUAUAUUGAUGGUAGCUUUGUUGUCAGAAUAUAAAGUUAUCUUAUCCCUCUCGGCAAUCUCAGCUCCUCCAAUAAUUUUUGCAACCACAAAAGUUCACACACCUUGAGCCAUAACUCUGUAUUCCGCUUCAGCACUUGAUCGAGCAACAACACUCUGUUUUUUGCUUCUCCAGGUGACAAAGUUCCCUCCCAUAAUUGUUCAGGAACUUUGCAACAGCCGGAGGUUAAUUAGGAGAUUCUGCGCAAUUUGCAUCUGUAAAAAUUUCAACUCAGAGGUGACUAUUUUUGGAGUAAAGAAGUCUUUUUCUUGGUGCAGACUUUAGUUAUCUGAAAAUGGAAAAGAUAGCUUGCAUAUGAGUCUCGCGAGGGUCAUGCAUGAAUUGACUUACUAGACUAACAGCAUAGGCUAUGUCCAAUUGAGUGUGUGAGAGAUAAAUCAACAUCCCUGCCAAUCUCUAGUAUCUUUUAAUAUCUACCAACUCACCAGUUUCUACAUGCAUCUUGUAAUUACUUUCAAUGGGAGAUUCUGCUAGUUUACAUUCCAACAUACCAGUUUCUUCCAAAAGAAACAUAAUGUAUCUUCUUUGGAAGAUAAAGAUCUCUUUUUAUAAUCUAGCCACCUCAAUAUCUAGGAAAUAUUGAAACUUUCCUAGAUCUUUGAUUUCAAACAACCUUUUUAGUUGAGUCAUUUUCUCUUUAUCAUCACCUUCUAUAUCAUCAACGCAAUAAGAAGGGUGAUCUUACCCUUGUGAUAUGUUGAUAAUCAAAGGAUAUCAUGGCUCUGGUAAAUCUAUCAAACCAAGCUCUUAGAGAUUGUUUUAGUCCAUACAAAGCUUUUUUUAAUUUGCACACCUUUCUUUGUGUCUUCUCAUCAGCAAACUUAGGAGGAAUUUCCAUGAACACCUCUUCCUCUAAAUCUGCAUGGAGGAAUGCAUUCUCCACAUUAAACUACUGUAAGUCCCAAUCCAAGUUGGUUACGCAUGAUAACAGGACUCUGAUUGUGUUUAUUUUUGCAACUGAGGUAAAUAUCUCUUGAUAAUCCACUCCACAGAUUUGGAUAAAACUUAUAGCAGCCAAUAUGGCCUUAAACCGUCAUCAAUUUUGUGUUUCACUGCGAAUACCCACUUACAACUAACUAAUUUCUUCCUAGGUGGGAGAGAGACAAGCUUCCAUGUCUCAUUUUUUGCCAGUGCUUUCAUCUCUUCAAUCAUUGUUUCCUUCUAUUUAGGAUCUUCGAGAGGUUGCUUACAAUCUUGGAAUAAAUAUAGAGGAAGUAGAUAAAGCAAAGACUCUAUAGGAGGGAGAGAAGGAUUCAUGAAAAGAAAGUUACAAAUAUGGUGUUUGGUACAAGAUCUGACACUUCUUUUUUGUGUAAUGGAUUUAUCUAAAUCAUUGAAGCAUGCAAGAGUUGAGGAUAACUCACUAGAAGAAGAGGAAGAUUCUUGACCUUGAGUAGGCUGCAUAACGCCUUCUUCUACCUUGUCUCUCCUCGAAUACCUCCUCAAUCUAGCUUAUACAAACAUUUAAUUUUCUCUCUCUGAUUAGACGUCUCUUCCUAUCUACUAAAACUCUUCUUCUGAACUAAAUUAUUCAGAAUUAGAGAUCGCCUCUUCCUUCUUAUUAUUCUCCCCUUGAAAAAGUGUGUAGAUGGUAAUGAAGUAGGAUUCAGUUUCUUUGAAAGUAAUAUCUAUAUCGAUAAAGUAUUUUCUAUAUAGAGGAUGAUAACACUUGUAUCUCUUCUGUAGGUUUAACUUUUCCAUCGACCUAGUAUGCACAAAGCAAACACACUAAAAUAUUUUUAGUGUAGUAAUAUAUGAAUUCUUUCCUUGUAGAACCUUCAAAUGACUCAUGAAGUCGAGGACCUUGAGGGGCAUUCGAUGCAUCUCCCCAAUAUACUAUGGGUAAGUUCAUGGUGAAUAAAAGAGAUCAAGCUACCUCCAAUAGAUGUCGAUUUUUCUUUUCGGCAAACUCCAUUUUGUGCAUUAGUAUAGGGACAACUUGUCUAGUGUAUUACCCUAUUGGGCUCCAAAUAAGCAAAAAAUCUACUAUUCAUAUAUUCUCUUCCAUUGUCGGUUCUCAAAAUUAAUAUCAAAUUGAGUACAAAUUAUCUUGUCAAAAUAUUCAAAAUAAGAAAAGACAUCACUUCACUUUUAGAUUUAAUCAAAUAUACCCAAGUCAUACGAGUGCAAUAAUUAAUAAAAGUGACAAACCAUCAAUUAACAGAUAAAGAGACAAUUUGAGUAGGCCCCCAAACACCAGAAUGAAUAGUCACAAAAGGAAUUUGAUUUUUAUUAUGACUCAAAAGAUAGGAGGUUCUAGUAUGCUUAGCAUACUCACAAAUAUUACAAAAUAAAGAAUCAAACUAGGAUAAAGUUUUUGUAAGACAAAAAAGGAUAGAUGUCUUAAUUGUCUGUGCCACUGUAUUAUUUCCUGAUUAACAUCCUUAGUUUCUUCAAAACAGGCUUGAGAUACCGUAGAACUUUGAUCACCUUCCAAUAUAUAUAAGCCAUCAUGCAAUCUACUAUUACCAAUUCUCUUCUUUUUUGUAUGAAGAUCCUGAAUAACACAAUCAUUAAAAAAAAUAAUUUUACAGUUAAGAGCAUUGGUGAUAGUACUGACAGAUAAAAGAUUGACAAAAAAAUGGGGAACAUGAAAGAAAGAUGAUAAUUUAAUAUUGGGUGUACAAAUAACAGAACCUAUUCCGGAUAUAGGAGUAAAAGAGCCAUCAGCAAAAUUCUGACACUGUCUUUGGUUAGAGAAGGAAAAUAAUUGAGAAAACUUUAGAAGAGCUUGUCAUGUGUCUAUUCAACAGUCAGAAAUUUUGUUAGAAAUUUUCCUAGUGAACAGUACUAGUAAGUUUAAUAGGACAAGAAAGAGCGGAUGGUGGUGUAUAAAUGCCCAAGCAUAGUUGUUUUCAAGCAUGAAUUUGAAGUUACAUGUGGUUGGAUCUUGUUCUUCUUUAUUCUUUGCAAUAUUUCCAUGCUGCAACUUCUCCACAUAAUGUCUAACGCAGGUUUUCUUGUUUUUCCUAUCUGCUAACUAAAAUUUUGUAUGAAUGCUUGAUAAAUAUAAACCGAGUAAUGUCCAAUGCAGAUUUUCUUGUUUUUCCUAUCUGCUAACUAAAAUUUUGUAUUAGUGCUUCAUAAAUAUAAACCGAGGGCUUUAUCUGACCAUUUCAUAUGCUUGCAUCGUGACAUAUAUGUUAACUCAUUAAAAGCACAUGUUUACUCUCUUGAAGCUUACUCAAUUCUCAUUGAGUUUGGGAUUGUAUAUUACUCGGGUAUCAUAUGCAUGCUUAUUUUCAAAUGGUAGUACCCUUCAUCAUAUUCUUUAGAUUGGUUUCUACCUUAUUGUUAUUGUCUCGAGUUCCGGAUUGCGUGACAGGAUGAUAGAUGGGGAAGGAACUCAUCAAAGGGAGCUCUUAACACAUCAGACUCGUUGAUAAGAGAGUCUUAGUCCUCUAAUGUGUUUGUAAUUGUUCUACUCAAUUUGGAGGUUCAUACAAUCAUAGGACUACUAAUUAAAAUAGAAGACUAAUAUACAUAAUUAUUUAGAUAAUAUAAUUAAAAUCUUAUAACAAACUAAUAAGAUCAUAGAGAUAAGAAACUAGUAGAUAAAAUGUAAUCUGUUUGUUAUGGAUUUGGUCUAUCCGUUAUCCAUAACAUUACUCCUAUCUAGGAAAAGGAGUUUGUCCUCGAACUCAAAGAUAGGAUAUACAGCCUGAAAAAAAUUAGUAGACUCCUAUGUAGCAUUAGAUUUAGGAUAGGCUUGCCACCUAACUAAUAUUUCCCAAACUUAGGUGCCCGGAUCAAAGGCACUAUCUCGGUGUCCCUUACUCUUUCAUGUGUGCUUGUGGUUGAUGUGAGCGAAUUCACUCAAAACUAAAGCACGUUCUUUUAAAGCAUGAUCUACUAUCUCCACUCUUAUAGAUUUUGAAAAGAAUGAUAAUAAUGGAUUAUCAAUGUCAUCAUAUGGGAAGUCAAGCUUGGCAUAGUCUACAAUCAUUGCUGCUGCAGGUAUCUGUCCUUUCAUCUGUUUCAGUGAAAAAAUUCUGUUGGUGACUGCUUCGUCUUCCAAUCUCAUUUUCUAGAUUUUAUUUUUCUUUGUCUUUUCUGCCAAAGUUAAAUACUUAGUUAUGGCUUCAGGUAAAACUCGUAUCUCUUUUUGCUCGUGACAUUAUGGUUGAUACCAUUCUUCAUAUAAUUGGAUAUGGAAAAUCCAAAUUCUGUUGUAAAUUGGAUUAAUCUCCCAUGACGCCAUGCUCUGACUCCCAUGAUGCCUUUCUCUGAUAUUAAGUUAUUACAGUCCCGGAUCAUAGAUCGCGUCACGGGAUGAUAGAUGGAGAAGAAACUCAGAGAGUUUUUAACACCUCAGACUCGUUGAAGAGAGUCUUAAACCUCAAAUGUGAUUGUAUUUGUUCUACUUAUUUUAUUGAAUAUAAAUAAACUCCUUAUACAGUGCAGAUUCAUAGAAUCAUAUGACUUUUAAUUAAAAUAGAAGACUGAGUGUCAUAGUCCAUUAAAUCUUCUUGAGUGUCAGCAUUUAAACCUGCUCUUUUUGUAUGCAGACUGAACUGUAUAGGUUGAAUAUUUUCCUUGCAUGUAAUCAUACAUUUUGAUUGUUAUCAUCAAAUAUGUUGUGUUGGUAAUUCAUCAUUUUUGUCAAGGACUAUAACGUCCUUGUUCUCUUAUCAAAAUCCAUGCUAAGCUGGUAGUUUUUGGAUUCUUAGUAAAAUGCUGAAACUAUAAUUGAUCCACUCAAUAAUUGAGUCACUGCCAUAUUAUCAGGACGAACUAAUAAAAUAUAAAUAGAAUAUAAUUAAAAGGAGUUUAGUUGAUGGAUGAGAUGAACUAAUAGUCUAUAUUAUUAGUGACGAAUUAAUAAAAUAUAAUUAAAAAGAGUUCAGUUAAUCCACGAGACGAACUAAUAUAAUAUAAUUAAAAGGAAUUCGGUUGAUGGACGAGAUACGAAUCACAUCACCUGCCAAAUUCAAAAUCAUAAUGCACUCAUAGACUUAGUAUGACAGUAAAUGUAUUUAAUUGAAUUAAGAUGGUGUAAUUUAAUAUCCAAUCCGCCAUUCCUCUUAUCUUUAAUUUUCUUAAAGAAAAAAAAAAUCAUUCUGGUCCUAUGAAAAAGUCAUUCUUGUUAUUACAUGGAUGUGCAUGUGGGCCAAGUUAUGUUGCAGGGAUGAAAAGGAUACGGCAGCAAAGCCAAAGCAACAAAAGGAGGAGCUUAGCUUAUGGGUCAACAACCAUAAGCUACCCAAGGACCCAGCAAGAGAAUAAGCAUGGUAUCAGUCCGAGCCCAGCAGAGUUCUUGGUUGGCAAGAUAGUUUCUAUUAUUGAAAAUGAAGCAUCCUUGUUAGGACGAGCUCGUGAUGACCUUGAACAAAUCAAGUGAUCAUAUGACAAUUUCUCAAGAGGAAGUUGACAAAACGUCAUCGAUGAGUUCAUAUAGUUUUAAUGAUAGUAGAAGAGAAGCAAUCUAGGAUGAACUUGUGGGGGUUGAAGGUGAAAGCGAAACUGUUAGUUGGAUGGCUAAUCACAAUGCACAGCAACUGUUAUGAGAAAUGAUAUAUUUAAAUUUAUAAUACAUCUUUUUAAUUAUAUUUCUAUUGUUAAUAAAUUUAUCUAUAUAUAUACAUAUAUAAUUUUUUUUUAAACUUGAUAUAUAUACAUAUAUAAUUAAACUUUAAAAUAGGUUAAUAAAAUGAAAACUGAUAUAAUUAACUCUAUAUAUUUAUGAUACAUGGUAUAAAUAUAUUUAUAAUUUUUUUAUAUAUUUAUAAUUUUAUUUUUAUAUAAAAUAAAAAUUAAUAUAUGUGUAAUAAAUAUAAUUUAUUAUUUUUUAAUGAUUAUUAAUGUAUCACUUUUGAUUUUCUACUACUUUUUAAUAUAAUAAAUACAGUUUUUAUUAUAUUUAUUUUCACUGUUAUUUAACACUUUGAUGUUCUACUAUUUUUAAUAUAUUAUAUUAUUAAUAUUGUAAUAAAAAUUUUAUUAUAUUUUUAUUAUUAAAAAACUUUAUUAUAUUUUUUAUUUUAAUAAUAAAUAGAAUUGUUAAAAAUAUAUUUAUAAAAAUUGAGUAAACAUCAUAUAAAAAGAUGUUUAGACAAUAAAAAAAUAUUUUUACCAUAUAGCAAUAAUUCUAUAACAAAAAAUUAUAUAAAAAGUUUUUACAAUAUGGCAGUAUUGUUGUUUAUUUAUUUGAUAAUUUUAUAAAAUCAUAACUAAUAUAAUUUAAUUAUAAAUACUCCAUAGGAUUUGAAUAAUUAUAUAGAAUAAAUAUAUACAAUUAAUUAAAAUCAUUAUAAAAAAAUAUUAAAUGUGAUAAAAAUAUAAAAUAAUUACAGAAUUAAUAAAAUUAAUUGUAUAAAAUAUUAUCAAAUUAAUAUAUUAUUCAAUUCAAAUAACUAUAAAAAGUUCAUAAAUAUAUACAAUUAAAGUAUAAUAAAAAAUAUAAUUGUGAUUCUAAUACUCUAAAUCAAGUGUUACAAAUAUUAAACAACCAAAUUAUUAAACCUAAAUUACUAAAAUUUAUUAUAUUAAUAAUUAUAAUAAUUUUAGUUUCUUUGCUUUUUUACAAAAAUGUAAUUCUCUCCCUUUCAUUUUCAAAUAUCCCGUGUGUUGAAAUUAUUUAACAUGAGAUGCAUAGUUGAACAACUUUCGAUAGCUAACUCAACCUUUUUUUUUAACAGGAAAUUGGAGAUUGGAAGAGUAGAACCUGAGACCUAAAUUUACUUAGAUGCACUCUUACUAUUAGGCUAAACCUGUAAGUGCACAACUAACUCAAUCUUGUUGGUUAGAUUGAAGUUGGAUGGUGAGUCAUCUACAUGUUUUGGAGGGAUCAUUUAUUCAUUAUUAAUAGUGAAAUAUAUUUAUACUAUACUUGUUGUGAAAUCAUUCAUAGUAUUAUAAAAUAGUAUUUGCCUAACAUGAUUGAUAUACUAGAUUUUAAUACUCAAGAAAUUGAUAUACAUAAAGGGUAUUAUGAUAAAGUAGGUGAUUCUCCUCCUCCACCAUCACUACCGCCGCUGUCAUCCACCACCAUUGAAGUUUAGUAAAUUUUAUUUCUCAAAGAAUAAAAUUCCUUGAAUAGAAUUUAUUAUUGAAUAUUAAUAAUAUAUGAUAAUUAGUACUAAAAUUUUUCAAUUUUCUUUAUUGCAAUUGAGUUUGAUAUAUAGUGCAUGGAUUUGUACUUAAUUACUAUUUUGAAUUUAAAAUUUUAGAGAAAAUAUUUUAUUUUUUAUUGUAGGUAGAGUGAAUUUAUAUAAAAAGAAAUAUUAUUUUUGUAACGACCCCAAAAUGGACCGUCACCGGCGCUAGGAUUCAGGUCGGCUUAAGGCCGCCAGAACCCGUAGCAAGCCUGCUAUACUCUCUGUGUACAUGUAAACCUCAUACAUGAUCAUACAUUUUCUGUGAAAAUAAAAACUCUUUUCUAAACCAAGGCUUAACCUGUGCAUGCACUAUCUCUGUACUCAUGUACUCUGUACUCUGUACUCUGUACCCCUGACUAGAGCUUCCUCUAGAUGGGUAAUCUCAUACCUGUUAAGCCUGGUUUUCACAUACAGGAAAAUAUAUACAUAUACAGAUCAUGUGUACAAAACAUACAUCACUAGGGCAAGCACAUUUCUAACUGUAUACACAACUAUUACAUCUCUUAUUACAUGUCCACUCUAAGCUAUUACAAUUCUCUUUACUCUUCCUGUACUCUGCUGACCUGUCCCUAUACACUGAACACUGAACCUGCAAAACUGGGGUUAAGGGAGUGGGAUGAGCUCUAUAGCCCAGUGAGUAGAACAGUAAAACAUCUCAGUAAAAUAUGAUCUCAUGGAAUGCACCAUAGCACAGACAAGCCACAUCAAGAGUAAACCUGUCACCACAUAGUCCCAGUAACUCUGUGUCAGGGCGUAGAAUCGAGCACCUGGUCUUCCUGUUAUAUAUGUAUAUGUGUAUAUAACACCUCUGUACUUACCAUUGCCAGGGCAUAGUCAAAGGCUCCUGGACUUCCUGUCUGAGACUAUGGGAUCAUUCAGCAUUCACUCACAUCAUCAAAUAACUAUGCAAUGCAACAUAUUCGUGUACGCUAAUGCAAUCAACCUAUGGUAGAAUUAUGAUGCAUGAGAUAUGCUAAACCAUUUCAUUGUACAAUUAAAAGAAUUAAGUUUAGUUCCACUCACCUCUGGCUAUCUGGACGGACUGACUCUGCAGGCUCAGAAACUCUGGAGCAGUACUCACUGCUGCUCUCUCUGGUUCCUCUGGUCUGUACCUAUACAGAUGGACUCAAAUGAGGGACCAAACAAGCUUAUGAAUAACUCUCUUAAACUCCCCAAGAAUCCCCUUAAACUCACUCAACUAGCCAUGCAAAGCAUGCAAAAGAAAGCUGGACAUGACACUUUCGGCGGCAGGUUCGGCGGCCGAAGUCCUCUCCAGAGACGAAACUCAAGCAUCUUCGGCGGCCGAAUCUCAAGCUUUGGCGGUCGAACCCUUUCGGGGAUAAGUUUCGGAGGCCAAAAGGCACUCCAGAGACGAAAGUCUCUAUCCUUCGGCGGCACCUUCGGCGGCCGAAUCCCCCAAACAGAGCCGAACAUCAAAACUCUCGGGGGCAAACUGUGGCAGCCAAAGCCACCAUGCAGGAGGUUCGGCGGCCGAAUGAACCUUCGGCUGCCGAACCUGAGUUCAUCCAGAACUCAGCCCCAACGGCAAACAAGCUCCUCCAUCCCAUCAAUCUCGCCAAACAUGCAAACUUCAACUCCUCAACACACAUAUACUCAUGUAUAUGUAAAAAGGGGUCUAAAACUACCUAAACACCCCAACAAACACAUCAAACAUAACACAUAAUCAUGCUUACAAGCGAAACCAUCAAACACACCCUUUGUCACCUAAGCAUGCAUCUCUACCCAAACCUUCAUAAAACUUCUGUAAAACAGUAAAACAUGUUCAAGAUCUUCACGUACCUCCUGUAAACACGAAGAUGAACGAUCUGAACAAAGAAACUAGAUCAACUUCUCUUCAAACUCACUAAACUCUCAAACCUAAGCUUUUUGCUUCAACCCUUCAACACCUUGUGAAAACCAACAAAACAACACCCUUUUGCAGGAGCUGUAAAACAUAGGAGACGUGGCCAAGCUUCCUGUCAUGGACUAAUUGGGUCAUCCAACAUUCACCCACAUCAACAACAAUCGAUGCAAUGCGGCAUAUUCGUGAAUACUAAUGCAAUCAUCCUAUUGCAUAUUCAUGAUGCAUGAAACAUGAUAAAACAUUUAAUUUAAAAGAUUAAGUUUAGUUCCACUCACCUCUGGCUGACUCUGACAAUACCGAAGCAGCUGAACUCACUGCUGGGGUCCUCGGUUCCUCGGGUCCGAACCUACACAGGUGGACUCAAAUGAGGGACCAAACAUGCUAGAACAUAACUCUAAACUAUUCCCCAAAAACCCCCUAAAAAAUCAUGAAACAUCACAUAAAAACAUGCAAGAAAUGGCUGAACAGGGCACUUUCGGCGGCAGGUUCGGCGGCCGAAAGUCCCUCCAGAGCCGAAAGUCAGGCAGGUUCGGCAGCACCUUCGGCGGCCGAAACUCCCAGACAGAGACGAAACUCAUGCAUGUUCGGCGGCACUUUCGGCGGCCGAAACUGCCCGACAGAGACGAAAGUCUCCCUUUCAGGGGCAAGCUUCGGCAGCCGAAAGGCUGCCUUCCCAGCCAUGUUCGGCGGCCGAAAGUCCUUCGGCUGCCGAACCUGGUUUCUGCCAAAGGGCAGAAACUUGGCUCCCAAUGCACAUUUCGCCUCCAAACUUACCAAACAUGCAUCAAACCUAUUCUACAACACCCACACAAGCAUACAUAUUCCUAGGGGUCUCAAACCAACAUAAACCUCAUCUACAACACUUCAAACACACACAAUCAACACACAUUGUCCAAAACAUCAAUAUUAACCCAUAACUCAACAUAUAUCCUAACAUGCAUUUCUACCCAAAGAACUCAUAAAAUCUUACUUAAAACACAUAAGGAGCUUAAGAUCGGCUCUUACCUCGUGAAGAUCGAGAGGGAGACGACCUAAACUUGGAGAUCCACGAAAAUGAGCUCCCGAGUUCCCAAAGCUCCAAAACUUUGCUCAAAAGCUUAAAUCUUCAAAACCAAGUUAAAACAAGUGAAAAUCUUGAAAGAUUUAGAGGAAGAACAUCAAAAAUGGGUGAGGGAUGGCGGAGAGCUCACCUUGGCCGAAAAUGGGGAAAAGCUCGCCCGUUUUCGGCUAAGGGACCCUUUUAUAGUGGCUGGCCAGACCACGUUCGGGGGCUGAAUGUGCCUCCGCAUGCAUGCCAUGUUCGGCGGCCGAACUUGAGGUUCGGCGGCCGAACCUGGACUUCCCUCACUUAUGCUUUCGGGGGCCUAAAGCACACCCGAAAUGCAUGCAUGUUCGACGGCCGAACUUGAGUUUCGGCGGCCGAACCUGAGUUUUCCUCAAAUGCUAUUUUCGUGCAAAAAACUCAUUUUCUUCCAUGCUUAAAACAUAAAACACAUUAAAACCUUUCAUAGAAACAUGAUUUUACCCUACUAGAGGCUUCCGACACCCGAGAUUCCACCGGACGGUAGGAAUUCCGGUACCGGAGUCUAGCCGGGUAUUACAUCAAGGCUCUUAAUUAUGGCUACUGGAUAUCCUAUUAGUUUGAAAUAGGUAUAUUCCAAAAGAAUUAUUCAAAGAGGAUAACAUCUAUUUAUAAAAAUAAUUGUGAAUUUAGAAUUCAUACUAGUAAGCUUAAUGAUAGUGAUACUUUUCAAAUAAAAAAUUUUAAGGGAGGGCAUAAUUGCCCAAGAGUAUUUCAUAACCCUCUUGUAACUUCAAGAUAUCUGUCUGAGAAGUAUUUGGAAGAAUUUAGGGAAAAUCCAAACUGGGAUGUUAGGGCCAUGCAGAAAAAAUUACAAAGAAAAACUAAAACUGAAAUAUCUCUGUCAAAAUGUUACAGGGCUAAGUACAAAGUAAAAGCAAAUAUAAAAGGGGAUGUUAAAGAGCAAUAUAAAAUAGUCAGAGAUUAUGCAUUAAUAAUCAUGAAAUAUAAUCCUGGCAAUUGGGUGUUGAUGGGUGUCAGAUAUGUCAAUUAAAAUUGAUUCUACUUUUCUAAUACAAUAAUUUUUAUAGACAGGGUGAAUGAGUAUCGAAUCCAUAAAGACCAUAAAUUUAUUCAAUUCUUAUGACAAGUGAGGGAAAGAAGGAUUGUUUAAAACAAAAGGGAGAAGAAGAAAUUUCAAUUGAAAAUUCUGAAUUUAAAAAAGACUUGAGAAGAAAUAAAAUAAUGUGAUGGAAUGCUGAAAUAAACAAUUAAUUUAAAAGCUCAGCUGAAAGUAAUCAAAGUUUAAGAAGUUUUCAGUUGACCAUUUGAUUCAAAAGAGAAUUUAUUUAAUUUUUCAUUAUUUGGUUAUAGUGCUCAAACAAGCGAAUCCCACCAAUUAUUCCUUAAGAUUAAAUUAAUUUGCAUAGUGCUAAAUCAAUUUCUAAUUAAUUAACAACCUCAAUAAGUGUGUAGAUUUAAUUAAUUAAUUGCUUUAAAAAAGAAGAACCCAAAUUUGAUUAACAAUUGCUAGCGAAUUGUUUAAACCAAAUCAAUCAUUUUCUUAACAUAAAUAGAUAUGCUAAUUGCUACUUGUAUUAAGCUAAUUAAAUAAUUACGUUUUUACUUGAGUUAAUUAGCAAUAUAUUGUCUAUUUAAGAUAUUCAAUAAGCCUCUUGAAUCCCUAAAAAGAAAACAAUGGAGGUACUAUUACUCAAAAAUAGAAAAAGAAUGAAAACAGAAAUUAAAAUGAAAAGAAAUUAAGAAUAUAUCUUAUAACUUAAAUAAAACCUCAAUUUGAUUAAUCUUCAACUGAAAAAGAGUGUUUAGCCACUAAGAGUCAUAACAAAAGUGUAGGAAAAUAAAAAGAAGAAGAAGAGAAUGGUUCGACUAUAGGAACCGAGAGGAAGAAGGGAUAUUAGGAGAUGAGGAGAUGAGAGGAGAGAUGCCUUCCUACUUCUAAAAUAGUCUUUAUAUAGACUUUUCUCAGCAAAAAGAUAAAAUAUAAUAUUCAAAAUUUAAAAGAAAUAGAAUAAAUCAAUAAAUCCUUCUAUGAUUGUUAUUGUAAUCCUUGAAUUUGCAGCUAUUCGAAAUAAUUUGAACUUUAUACAACUGUCACAACAAAAACUCUGCAAUUUGUCCAUUGAGCUUGGAUCACAGCCUUGGACAAGGCAAUACCUUUCAGUCUAAAACAGCUCUGAAAUAGCCUCUGCUGGUUUCUUUUCACACUUUCAACUCCACACCUGUCCAAAAUCAAAAUUCAAGUAAAAAUCUAAUUGUUUCCCAUCAAAAUCGUAACAAAAUCAUGGAAAUCAAUAUAAAAAAAAUUGUGAGUUUUACAACUCAUCAGGUGAAGAUUUCUACUUUUGUGUAUGCAAGUAAUGGAGAUAACAUGCAUAGGGAACAUGGAUUUACAAUACCAAAAGAGAUAACAGUGUUUCAGUAUAUGCAUGUCAGAUUCUCAGUGCAGAAGCAAGGCUAUUUCUCAGGUAUUAGACUAAUAAUAGGUUUAGAUGGAUGUCACUUAAAGACAUAAUUAGGUGGAUAGUUGUUUUGUGCAAUAGGAAGGGAUGGCAAUGACAACAUGUUCCCAAUUGCACUUGUAGCAGUUGAUAUUGAGUGCAAAGAAUCUUGAAUUUGGUUUAUCAAGUUACUAGUAGAUGACUUGGUCAUCCAUCAGAAACAGGUUGGAUUUUCAUGUCUUAUCAACAAAAGGUAAUAUGUCAAUUCAUAUUAGUUAAUUUUUUUUGUGCUUUAUACAUGUGGCAUUUAUAAUUCUGAAUUUCUUGCAGGGUUUAAUUGAGGCCUUUAAUCAGUUGAUGCUUGGGGUUGAACAUCGUUUUUAUGUUAAACACAUGUAUGAUAACUUUAAGGUGAUUUUUAGAGGGCUUGAAUACAAGAAAAAACUAUGGGCUGCAUCUUGUGCAAUUAGAAAGAGGACAUGGGAGUAUCAUAUGACAAAGAUCAAGGAAAUGGAUGUGAAGGCUUAUGAUUGGUUGAUGAAGCAUGACCCCAGCACAUGGUCAAGGGCUCACUUUUCAACUCAUGCCAAAUCAUAUGUGCUUUAGAAUAAUAUUAGUCAAUCGUUCAACUCUUACAUCAAAGAAGCAAGAGACUUACCUAUCCUAUCAAUGAUUGAGUGGAUUAGAAGGAGAUUAAUGAAGAGGCUUCAUGUGAAAUACCAUUCUAUGAAUAACUACAAAGGAGAUAUUUGUCCUAAUGUACAAGAUGAGCUAGAGAUGAGGAAAAUUGAGAGCAGGAAUUGCUUUGUCACUCUAGCUGGGAAUAACAAGUAUGAAGUUGACUAUUAUGAUACACAAUGUACUGUUGACUUGCAUCAAAAGAACUGCAGCUGCAGAGUAUGGGAUUUGAUAGGAUUACUAUGCAAACAUGCAAUUUCUUGCAUUUUUAAUAAUAGAGACAAGCUAGAAAAAUAUGUUCACUUUUACUUCUCAAAGGACACCUAGACAAACAGAAAGUGGACAUCAAUGAAAGUGGAUAGAAGAGGGUCCAACCAUUUUGCAUUUUGAGAGUUCCUAACCUGGUUGUUCACAAUCUGUUCACAUUUUUGCAUUUGGAUAGUUUCCAAGGUGAUUUUUCACAAGUUGAAGUUAACAGAUUAUGAAGCUUUUACAACUUGCAACCAUAUAUUUUGGAUGGAUACCAUUUUGUAAAGACAUAUAUUAUUAAGUAAUUUUGGAUUAGAUAGAUGUGCAUAUGAAAAUUGUGCUUAUUCUGUGAAAAGAUGUGGAUAUCUAUAUUUUCCACAUCAAUAUAUGUAUUUAUUUGGCUAUCAUUUUGUCUUGUUGAAAUGUAGAAGAAUUACUGUAAUUUGUAGACUCAAUAUUCAAUCAUGAUUCUCAUGAAUAUUUAUAAAAUUUUGAAUUCACCAGUAUAACAUCAAUACAAUAAAUUUCCACAAUUUUUAUUAAUUUGCAAUAAUAAUAUGUUACACAAUUAGGGCAAACAUUUAUUAUCAUGCCUAUUUUUAUUUUUCAUAUGUAAUAACACAGUUGCAACACAAUUACAGUGAAAAAGACAAAUUCUUUUCAUCCAUUUACACAUACAAUAUUGAUUUUUAUUGACCCUUUCUUCAGUUUUAAUUUUCCUCAUAGCUACAACUUCAUCCCUGUGUGAUUUCAAAGCAUCAUCAAAUUUCACAUUCAACUCCGUGCUCUUAUUUAACUAAAACAACAAUUCUACUUCUCUUGCAUGACAUUCAACCAAUUCAUCCUCCAAUUCUUCUAAUCUUUUGAUCAUUCUUGAAAAAAUAACUUCACAUCUUCUAUAAUUUUCACCAUCCAACCAUAAAAAACAGUUGCACCUACCAGGAUGUUUAAACCGCCCGCAUCCAUAAAACCUUCUUCCUUCGUUUCCUUCAAUCAUCGCAGUCCUCACCGGUGCUGAUACCAUCCAUCGGCACCUAACAAUCGUGCUCAUUCCUCUUGCUAAGUCGUUUUCCUCUGACUGCGUGGGAGAUUGAGAGCUCAUUCCGAAUUUUCUCCAAACAAAUUAGGGAUUAUGGUGCAACACAAAUUAGAGAUUUUGAUUCUCUAGGAGGUGAAAGAUAACCGUACAAACCUAAGUAUUUUUAAAGUUUUUUUUAUUAAUUUAACUUAAAUAAAAAUUUUAAAUAAUCAAAAUAAAGAUGUCACGUCAGCAUGGUUUUAAUUGUGUUAGCUCAAAUUCCUCUAGUUGCUAAUGGUAUUUUAUCUCAAAGUACUCUUUUGACAAAAAGUUAAAUUCAAGACCCUCUCUAAAAAUGCAUGAAAUCACAAGAUAAUUUUAUGUAAUUUUUCAAUUUUUAUUCUGUAAAAAAAAGGCAUAAAAGGCAAAUUGUUAGAAUUAGCUACAAUUUGAAUCUCACAUUAAUGAACACUUUAUCAAUUUAUGUUCUUUUAAUCUCCUUUAUAAAGAAGUAACAAAUGUAAUUAUAUUAGUGAGCUUCAAAUUAGUUCAAAUAAAUAUAUUUCAUAUGCUAUGUUUCUUUUGUUUCUGGAAAUAACUUAUACUAGUAUGGUCCUUUUUUUUUUUGAAAAAUAACUUGUAUUUCGAAAAUAUUUUUUAUGAAAAAUAUUUUUUCAAUGAAAUACUUUAUUUUUUAUUGUUUAAUUUUAAUUUAAAAAAUAAAAUAUAUUAAUAAACUUAUAUGUAGAAGUACUAUUAAGUUUUUUAAAAUGCAAAAAAUGAUUUAAUUUUUUAUUUUAUUAAGAAAAUAUUUUCCAUUAAAUAAUUUUUUUGAGCAUCCAAAAAGUAAAAAAAAAUAUUUUCUUGAAAAAUAGUUUUCGUGGCCUUGAUUUAAAUUUUUGUUAAACAUUCCGGUUAAGAUUUUGUUUUAACUUUAGAGUAAAUUUCACAAUUUAUCCGUGAACUUUAGUAUUUAUGACAUUGCAGUCCCUAAAAUGAAAAUUGAAACAUAAUACCCUAUUAACUUUAAUCUCUUAUAAUAGUAAAAUCCUUCUUAAUCUUUAUUACUCGUUAGUAGGUAAACUAAUGAUGUUUCAUUUUCUAUCGUGGCAAUACAAAUAUUUUUCCACUCAUCUUUUCUGUCAUAUCAGCCUUCCUCCAUCUCCUCUAUUUUUUUUUCUUUUUCCUAAUUUUUGUCACUCAUCGUGCCCAAUCCCUUCUUUUAGACCCUUUUGGAAUUUUCAAUCUCUCUAUCAUUUGUGAACCCAACCUUGAUGAAGACCAACAACCCAUUCAUAAUGAACACCAGCAUCCAUUGUAAAUCCCUCUCUCGUGCAUGAAGACUAGUAGUGUGAAGAAUUAUUUGGGGCAUGAAAAGUAGUUGUGCGAAUAGAAAACUCUCACUAAAUUGAAUUUCAAUUUUAUCAUUGUAAUGAAGAAGAUAAAUUAACAACAUCUUGGAUAAAUUCUCAUCCCUAAUGGAGGUUUUAUGGAUACAUAAAAUAUGGGAUAAGCUUAACUUGGAUGCAUGUUUGGAUAGUUGUGUAAGUUAGACAAAUUAUGAUUUUUUUUUUAAAAAAAAUUUCCUUUAUGCGUAUGUGCAGAAAGGGAAUUUGUUAUUAUUACUUUGAUUGGGUUGAUCCAAAGUUAUUAAAUCAGGUUGCAAUUAUUGUUGGUUUGCUGAAUUGAGUAAGACAAAUGGAAAAAGAAAGAAAGUAAAAAAAUUCAAGAUGGGCAAAGGAUAAAAUAUACAGAAGUGGUUAUUUAUUUUGAUACGGUAAUAGAGGAUAUAUUUAAAAAUGAUUUUACUAUUAUAAAUGAAAUUUUAUAUUUCAAUUUUCAUUUGAGAAACUGUACUGGUACAAAUAUUAAAGUUCAUAAACAAAUCAUGAAAUUUACUCUUUAAUUUUAUAUCAACUUAUUCAUUAUUUAUUUUUUAUUGUGAUUUUUUCAUUUACAUAAUUUUUUUUCUUUGAAAGAAAGUGCUAGGCAAGCUCUUCGACAAGAGAAAAAAUUAUGAUUGUCCACUUCAUAUGCGCAUACUGAACUUAGAUAUUUAAAUAUAAGGGAGUUUAAAAUUGGUUAUCUAAAAUUGAAUUGGGUUUAAAGUUUGCAUCUAAUUUUAGCAUUUUUAAAAUAUAUAUUUAAUUUUGUUCCCAACAUAGUUUACUUUCAAAUUUUUUAUAUUUGAAAAACACUGAAAAAUUAUUUUGAUUAUUCAAAAACUCAAAAAAAUGUUGAAAACUAUUUUAAACAUUUGAAUUUGAGAAAUAUAUUUUUAUAAAUCAUUAUUAAUAUAUAAACUCUCUUAUCCCUUACAUCUGAUCUAGAUAACCAAAUUUAACCUUAAUUCUAUUUUGAAUUUGAUUCAUUUCAUGUUAUAAAAAAUAUAAAUCUUAUCUUAAGAUCUCUAUUAAAUACUAUGAUGCUUUACUAAUGUUUUCUUUUUAAGUGCAAUCUAUACAAAGAUUUAAGACCAACAAAUACUAUAAUACUUUACAAAAGUUUUCUUUUUAGGUACAACCUAUACAAAGAUUUAAGACUAGGACAUUUGGUAAAUAAAGUUCAAGUAUUUAAAUAAAUUAAGUUCAAGUUAAAAUAAACUUGGGUGUUAUAAUUUCUAGUAAAAAAACACUUCAUAUUAUAAAUAUAAUUCUAUUAUAUCAUGUACACUCCUAAUACUAUUAUAAUUAUAAAAAACACGUUAUAUAAGGAGUUUAUAUUCUUCAUAAUCAAGUACAUUAUUUCCUCACUGGUUGAUUUUAUAUUUUACUUUAGUAUCCAUACUAAUUUAUAUGCAAAAUCAAACUGUUUAAAUUUAUGGACUAAUAUCUUUUACUUUCAACUUCUGUGAUAAUUGGAUACAUAUUAUUACAUUUUGUAUGAUGCAGAGAUACCGAUUAUUAGAUUGCCCUUAUUUUAAAAAGUAAAAUUUCCAAAUCCUUAAUUUUUUAAUUAAGGUAAACCAUCAUUUUUAGUCAAAUCUUUACGUCGUCCUUCAAUUUUAACCAAAUUAAAAAGAAUGUUAACUAUUUUAGCAAAAGCUCAAUUGGAGGUUAUAAUUUGCUUAUGUGGCAAUACUGAAUUAGCAAAAAGUCUCAUCUGUUAUAAUAUGAUAAAUUCAUCUUAGCCAAACCUUUCUGCAAAUUAUCAAUUUUAGCCAAUUUAUUUUUUAUUCAUUUUAGUCAAAAGGUAAAAAAGAGUGUAACAGGAACUAACUUGACUGUUUAGUUAGCAUAUAAAUUAUUUUUUUUUUUAAUGCAGAAGUCACUUGAAUAAGUUAUCUUAUCAAGUAAAAACUAUAUUUUUUAUUAUUACACCCACCUGAAUAUAGUUUGAUAUAGUAAAUUCAAUAAUUUAUACUAAUUUGAAUCAGAGUGGCUUCACUACUAAAAUUCUUACCAGAAUAAAAUAAUAUUUUCAGAUCCGGCCAAUCGAGUUGAAAAUUCAACUUAAAUUGAAUGAAAGUUUAAGAGGUAUGUUAUUAAAUGAAUAUUAUAAUAUUAAUUAUUGUUUUAUAUAUAUCUUAUAAAUAAUUAUUAAAAUAAGUUUACUUAAAUUUUGAGAUUCAAAAUAUUUUUUAAAAAUAAUUUAAAUUUUUUAAAUAAUAAUAUUUAAUUUUAUAUAAUAGAAAAAUACUUAAAAUUAAAAUUUCUUAAUGACUAAUAAAUAAUAAUAUAUUAUCAAACUAAAUAUAAAAAUUUAUGUAUUUUAAUAAAAUGAAAAAUAUGUAAUAAAAUUUAAUUAAUAAAAUGAAUUAUUAUAAACUAUUAAUUUUCCAAUUUGCAUUUUUAAAUUUUUUUUUUAUAAAUAAUCAGUUAUAUGCUGCCCUUAUCUAUACUAAUGGUAAUUAGAC